AAAUCGUUUCUAUGCUCUACAGACUAGAGGUGAACAAGAGAGUUCUCCAGAUGUGGUUAUCGGUAUGUUGAAAGUUUUCCAACUUGGUGUAUAUGAUUUACUUGAUCCCGGUGCUACCUUGUCUUUUGUGACACCAUAUGUGGAGAUGAGGUUUGAUGUGCUCCCCAAUGUGUUGGUAGAACUUUUUUUCCGUCUCUACUCCUGUUAGUGAUUCUGUGGUGGCUAAGAGUGUCUAAGAAAGUGUCCCAUUUCCCUGUCCAAUAGAGUUACUCUUGUUGACUUGGUAGAGCUUGAUAUGUUAGACUUUAAUGUUAUCUUGGGUAUCGAUUGACUGCACUCUUGUUAUGCUUCUAUUGAUUGUAGAACUCGUGUAGUCAAGUUUCAGUUCCCGAAUGAGCCUAUCCUAGAAUGGAGGGGGGAAAUUCUAUGCUUAAGGGUUAGUUUGUUUCUUAUCUUAAAGCUAGGAAGAUGAUUUAUAAGGGUUGCUUUUACCAUCUUGUAAGGGUGAGGGAUGUAGAUUUUGAAACCCCUUCUCUUGAGUCGGUCCCCAUUGUCAAUGAGUUUUUAGAAGUGUUUCCAGAAGACUUACCCGGUAUUCCUCCCGAGCGGGAAAUAGACUUCAGUAUUGACCUUCUCCCAGAUACGCAACCUAUCUUUAUUCCUCCUUACUGUAUGGCUCCGGCAGAACUUAAGGAGUUGAAAGUACAGUGGAAGGAUUUAUUGGAUAAGGGUUUUAUCCAACCAAGUAUUUCUCCAUAAGGUGCUCCAGUUUUGUUCGUUAGAAAGAAACAUAGGUCCCUUUGUAUGUGUAUUUAUUACCGUUAGUUGAACAAGGUGACCAUUAAGAACAAGUAUCCUUUCCCAAGGAUAAAUGAUUUAUUUGACCAACUUCAAGGGGUAAGUUAUUUCUCUAAGAUCGAUCUCCGAUCGGGUUAUCACCAAUCGAGGGUGAAAGAUGAUGACAUUCCAAAGAUGACUUUUCAAACUCGGUAUGGUCAUUAUGAGUUUCUAGUAAUGUUAUUUGGGUUGACUAACGCUCCGACGGCGUUUAUGUACUUGAUGAACAAGGUGUUUAGACAAUAUCUUGACAUGUUUGCGAUUGUGUUCAUCGAUGAUAUUUUGAUCUACUCAAGGAGUGAGGAUGAGCAUAUGGAUCAUUUGAGGAUCGUGUUGCAAAUUCUUAAGCACCAACAGCUUUUUGCAACGUUUAGUAAAUGUGAAUUUUGGUUGAGGUCUGUACCUUUCCUUGGUCAUAUUAUUUCGAGUAAGGGUAUCGAGGUAGAUCCUAAGAAGACGGAUGCGGUCAAGAGUUGGCCUAGACCUCUAACUCCCUCGGAUAUUAGAAGAUUUUUGGGUUUGGCUGGUUACUAUAGAAGAUUUGUUGAGGGAUUUUCUUCAAUUGCCUCUCCUUUAACUGCUUUGACUCAAAAGAAGGCUAAGUUCAUAUUGUCCGAAUUUUGUGAGAAGAGUUUCCAAGAGUUGAAAGAUAGACUUACUUCCGCCCCGGUGUUGACCUUACCGAAAGGAAUGGAUAGUUUUGUGGUUUAUUGUGAUGCCUCAAGAAUUGGGCUAGGGUUCGUGCUAAUGUAAAAUGGGAAAGUUAUUGCCUAUGCCUCAAGGCAACUUAAAGUACAUGAGAAGAAUUAUCCUACUCACGACCUUGAGCUAGUGAUGGUUGUAUUUGCCUUAAAGAUUUGGAGGCACUAUUUGUAUGGAGUUCAUGUUGAUGUGUUUACCGAUCAUAAGAGUUUGCAUUAUGUGUUUAAUAAAAAAGAUUUGAAUCUUCACCAAAGAAGGUGGCUUGAGUUAUUGAAAGAUUAUGACAUGAGUGUUCUUUAUCACCCCGACAAGGCUAAUGUGGUAGCGGAUGCUCUUAGUUGGUUAUCUAUGGGUAGUGUUGCUCAUAUAGAAGAAGAAAAGAAAGAGUUGGUUCAAGAUGUUCAUAGAUUGGCUCGGUUAAGUGUUCAACUAGUGGACUCCACCAAAGGUGGUGUUAUGGUUCACAAUGGUUCCAAAUCAUCUUUUGUGGUGGAUGUGAAAGCCAAGCAAGGUCUUAAUCCAAUUUUGGUAGAAUUGAAAGAAGAUGUCCUUAAGAAAUUCGUCGAGGCUUUCUCCCAAGGGGGAUAUGGUGUCCUUAGAUACCAAGGUCGAUUAUUUGUUCCAAAUGUUGAUGACUUAAGGGAACAAAUUAAUUUUGACAGAAGCCCAUAGUUCGCAGUAUUCUAUUCACCCGGGAGCCACCAAGAUGUACCGUGAUUUACGGGAGGUCUAUUGGUGGAAUGUGAUGAAGAAAGAUAUUGCGGGUUUUGUGGCUAAUUUUCCAAAUUGCCAACAAGUAAAUGUUGAGCAUCAGAAACCGAGAGGUUUAUCCCAAGAUAUUAGCAUUCCUACUUGGAAGUGGGAAGACUUGAAUAUGGACUUUAUUGUUGGAUUGUCUCGCACUCGGCGACAACAUGACUCUAUUUGGGUGAUAGUAGAUCGGAUGACGAAAUCUGCUCAUUUCCUUCCUAUCAAAAUUUCCUAUUUGGCAGAGGACUAUGCAAAGUUGUAUUUGAGAGAAAUGGUAAGGUUGCAUGGAGUGCCCUUGUCCAUUAUUUCUGAUCGUGGUACCCAAUUCACUUCUCAGUUUUGGAAGUCAUUCCAAAAGGAGCUUGGCACUAAGGUUAAGCUUAGCACGAAUUUUCAUCCCCAAACUGAUGGAAAAGGGGAGAGUACUAUCUAAACUUUGAAAGACAUGUUAAGGGCAUGUGUGAUCGAUUUUAAGGGCAAUUAGGACGACCAUUUGCCAUUGAUUGAGUUUGCCUACAAUAACAGUUAUCACUCAAGAAUCAAUAUGGCUCCAUUUAAGGCCUUAUAUGGUAGGAGGUGUAGAUCUCCUAUAGGUUGGUUUCAGGUGGGUGAAGUUGCCUGAAUAGGUCCCGAAUUGGUUUAUGAAGCCAUUGAGAGAGUUUGACUCAUUAGAGAGAGGUUGAGAAUGACUCAAAGUCGGCAAAAGUCUUAUACCGAUGUGAGAAGAAGGGAUCUAGAAUUUGAGGUCGACGAUUGAGUUUAUUUGAAAAUCUCACCCAUGAAGGGUGUGAUGAGUUUUGGUAAGAAGGGGAAACUUAGUCCCCGGUAUGUAGGCUCGUAUUAGGUUUUGAGACGCGUCGGUAGGGUUGCUUAUGAGUUAGAUUUACCAAAUGAGUUGGCAAUAGUGUAUCUCGUAUUCCAUGUCUCUAUGCUUAAAAAGUGUGUUGGAAAUCAGACAUCCAUAGUUUCCCUAAAAGGGUUGGGAGUUGACAAAAGUCUUUCUUAUGAGGAGGUUCCGGUUGAGAUUUUGGACUGGCAAGUUAAGAGCUUGAGAAACAAGGAAAUAGUUUCCGUGAAGCUUUCGUGGAGGAAUCAAUUAGUGAGGGUGCUACUUGGGAGGCCGAGGCCGAAUGAUGUCCCGAUAUCCUUAUCUUUUUCCUUCUACUCCUAUUCUGGCUUGAGGUAAUGAGUUCCUCUUGAGUUGUCUUUGUUUUGGGAGUCAUGUGUUUUCAUGUGUUUCCAUGAUUUCCUUAUGAUAUGCAUGUUCAUGAAAACUUCUGUUUUGAAAGAAAAUGAGUUUAUAUGAUUGAUUUUCCUCAUGUUAUUGUGCAUUGAGUAUGAGUUGCCAAUAGACUUUAUGAGAUUAAUUGAUGAACAUGUUUUAGAUAUGCUUUUUGAGAGUGAAUUGCAUAUGAGCUCCAUGAGAUUGUGUUGAGCAUGUUUUUAGCUUGGAGAAGGUAGGUCCUCCUUGAAAAUGAGUAAUGUUGAAAUUUCAUCAUAGUGGAGUUGAUGUUUCAUUCUUAUAUAUGUGCAUUGCAUGCAUAAUGGGCUGAUAGAGUUAGUUCACCCCACUUAUGAUGUUUUGAGAACGUCCUAGCUUCGAGUCGAUAGUUCCUCCCCUACUCAUUUAGAACCAGUUUAAAUCUCAUUUGAAGACGAAUGGUCCCAAGGAGAAGAUAUUGUAACACCCCGUAUACGAAAAAGGGAAAUGAACUAGACUUUGGGAAAUUGAAGGUGCCAGCCACGAGGGCCACCCACGGCCCGUGGAUGGGACCACGGACCGUAGGUGUGGUCUAUGGAUGGCCUUGCCCAGAGUGUCCUGGAGGCUCAGGACCACGGCCUGACCUACGGACCAUAGGCCAGACCAAGGUCCAUGGUUCGAGGCCCAAAAACCAACUUUCUGAUGGCGAACCACGGUCCACCAGGACGAACCGUGGGUCAGACCACGGCUCGUUGAUUGGGGUCCGUCGGUGGCCAGCUGACAGUUAUUUUUAGGGUCGGUUAGGUCUUUUCCUAAUUAAUUAAUUCCUAUACUAUGUCAUUUUGCCUAUAUUUAGAACCCCUAUAUAAACCUUUAACCCCCAAAUUCACCCCAUUUAUUUCAUUCUUCAAAAAUCACAAAAAGAAACCAAUUCCUCUCCAAAUAUUCUCUCUCUAGAAACUUGAAGAAGACGAUGAAGAAGGACUCCUGACCUAGGGUUUCAAGAUAAGGUUCCAAUUCCUCCAUUGAAGGCUACCAAUUGGAGUCAAGGUAUGAUAGUUUUCAUCCAUGGAUUCCUUCCAUCCAUGGAGUUCCUAAAUUCCUCUAUUUCAAAUGGUAGAAUUCCCCCAAUUGAGUUAGGGUUUUCAUCAAUUAGCAUUACCUGAAAAUCAAGGGUUUUACAUCAGUUAUUGACACAAAAUAAGUAUUUGAGGACACUACUUCGAUAUAAACAAAGCCCUAAAUGAGUCCAAAUCUCGGACUCAUCAGUACGAUAGACUUUAAGGUAGAUAGCCUUCUCCCGAAAAACUAUCUCGAAUCAGGUGAUUUCUUUCGAACAUCAACAAUCAUAACAAUGAAGAACAUCCCACACCUUAAUUCAUCCACUCUUUCGAGCUAGAUGGGUAGGAUUGAGUUUAGGAUUCGCACUCUCGAGCUAAACCCAGCUCAACCCAAUACCUACAAAUCAUUAAUCAAUAAUCUUAUUUCUAAAACCUCUCUCUCGAGCAAGCCAAGAACACAAUAUUAGAACUGUAUUUUCAACUACAAUUCAUAAAUUAAACCAUAAUUAAUGAUUAAACUCACUUCAAUUUAGCAUCUAAAAUAGUAAUUAAUAAUACCCAUAAACUAAUUCAACCCAUAAUCAGAUGAUCACACCCCAAGAAUUGGGGUUUUAGACAAACAUCAUAAAAGAAUAAAAACGAUUACCGAAUCGAUUAGUCAUCAACUGGGUAAGAGUAAUUUAGUCUUUACAAUGCUUCAAUUUGCAGAAUAUUCGAAACCCACUUUCAAAAUCUCCAAAUUGGAUCUCUAAAAUUCUUCAAAACUAUGAAAAACUACAAAGAAAAGUGUUCUAAACUAAUUUAGCAUUAACCAACAUAAGUCCACUCUCUAAAAUAAUUGUUCAAAAUCUAAUUUAUAGUCGCCAAAAAUAAGUGACAAAUGGACGUUUGGCGAAGUAAGUCGGGCUCGCCGAACCACUCGGCGGACUUCCCAUUGAUCUCUUUCAUCGCCUUUUUGCCUUGGCACUCAGCAUACUCAAGUUCUGUAACUUUGGGCGAUCUCUCUUUGCAUCGCGGAACUGCUCAACGAUUCGCUGACUACUCUUUUUUGUCGCCGACUUGGUUUCUUCCCUCAAGGCUGGCACACUAGAACUUUAGGCGGUCAAGCUAGCCACUCGGUGAUUCGCCAAGUGCUCUUGGCGAUCACCAGGCUUGCCUGUUGACACCCAAUUUUGGCUCCAACCAUUUGUUUAACUAAAGUUUUAAUAAUAAUAAUAAUAAUAAUAAUAAUAAUAAUAAUAAUAAUAAUAAUAAUAAUAAUAAUAAUAAUAAUAAUAAUAAUAAUAAUAAUAAUAAUAAUAAUAAUAAUAAUAAUAAUAAUAAUAAUAAUAAAAUUAAAUAUAUUAUAUAAAUAUUACUACUUACUUUCUCAUUUUUAAACUUCACGUCAAAUAAAUAUUGUUUUAAGGGUUAACUCGAUUUUUCUAAUUAAAUAUAAUUUCUAUUAUUGCGAUAAAUAUUUUUUUUUGACAUUUUAAAAUUAAGAAGGCUAAUUAAUUAAUAAGUUACCAAUUUAUAUUAAUUUUAUUUUUAGAAUGAAUAAUUUUAUCAAAUAAGCUAGUCUUGCAAAAUAUUUUUUUUUUAAAAUUAUGGCUAUUUAAUAAAGAAGAGGUUAUAAUUUAAAUGAAGUUAAUUUGAUCAAAUUUGGCAAUCCAAGUCAUUUUAAUUUGGCCAAUCCACGUGUGCCACAUAAGAAGCACAUGGAUUGUUCUUCUUCAGAUUCGAUCUCAACCGUCCAAUUUAAUAUAAGGGCCCAAUUUAAUUCAGCAUUUUUCUAUAUAUAUAUAUAAUAUAAUAUUUAUUUAAUUAUUCAACUAUAGAUUAAUUUUGACCGUCCGAUCAAACGAUCAGACGACCCAAAAUGAGUAAGACUCUUCCUUCUCCCAAAAGACACGUAUCGUCCCCUAUACUCUAGAUCAACAUUGAAUUUUCCUUCUUCCCCAUACCCCUUACGCGUUUUCUUCUUCCACAGACAUAACGUCUUCUCCAUGACCGCCCAUGCUCGUUCCUCAGACCCCUACACUAGUUGUGUCUUCUCCAUAGACGCCUAUACCGCCCCAAGCUCCUCUCCCAUCACCUCCUAUGGCCGCACCCACAUGCUCUCCCAUCCCCUCUAUUAGAGAAACGACUCUGGCCGCCGGAAAAAUGCCCCAUCACUCACUCAACCCUCACAAAUCGACCUGAAAAGGUGGAUUCUUGAGAGAUUUUUCUUCUCCUUCAUGAUUUCUUCGCUGUUUCCUCUGAUAUUUGCGUUUCCAAGAAUUCAAAUUUUGAAUUCUUGGAGCACAAAUCGACUAUAAAAGGAUGGACUUCGGGUCUCAACAAAACAUCCAAGAAUCAACUGAAAAAAUCCAAAAACGAACGGAAAUGAUCGAACAACAAUCCAGAAAUCGAACAACAUUUGAACAACACCAACAAAGGUCCGGAAAUCAUCUAGGAAACAGAUUUUAAGGUUAUUAACCUUUGUUCUCUGUUUCCGUUUUACUGCUUUGAGUUGAAGAGGAAGUUCGUAGUUGAAUUCUUGACGUCAAAGCCUUAGUUUGCAGCUCCAAGAAAGGUAAUUUCGUCUCCUCUUACAUUCUUUUUUCGAUGCGGCGUGCUAUGUGUUCAACACUUUUAUAGAAUCUAUUAUUACGUGUAUCUGAUUCCCCUGUCUUAGUCCUUACUUUAAUUUCGUCUUCUUGUAUGUCUAUGGGAAGUAGGUGUGAGUCAAGAAUUAGUGGAGUUGUUUGAAUGUUACGUGUUGGUUAUUAUUUCAUUAACUUGAUUUUGUAUCCAUAUACAACUAGCUGAAUCUAUCCUCUGUUUUGCUUGCAAUAGUUUGAUGCUCACUUAGUCUCCACUUUGAGUGUACUAAUUGCGUAGCUCUGUUUCAUCACUGUUUGUUUGAAUCAUAACUGGAAUGCUGGACGUGUUUCUCUUGUAUAUUAGCUGCUCAUAUCUUUAAUGUAAACUCGAGUUAGAAUCGGCUUAGAAAGCAUAAGACAUGUUCAUAUUGCUACUUUCGAGUUCUGCAACACGCGUUUAGCCUGCUUUAUAUUACUCGCUGCUGCUAAGUGAUAUCCAUGUUUAGGCUGAUGUGUUGCACCUUAGAUAUUUCAUAAGUUAUCUUGUUGUUUCGCAAGUCAUAUUUCAUUUAAAUUUUGAGGAGUCUUGAUUCUAAGUUUUGUUUACUCCUUCUUGUAUAACCAAACUUUGCCUAAAUAAUCAUUUUCUAAGUAUAAAUGAGCCAUUUCGAACUCUUAAGAUCAGUUCUUCCUGAUCUACUUUCCCCAUUCGUGUUUCGUCUUCUCUGGAUAUAUAUUUUUUCUUUCUGCUAUUUAAUGUUGUUAGUCAGGUUGACUCAUUAUGUUUGAAGGUUCCUAGCUCCUGUCAUUCUCUGAUUUAUGCCUGUUUUGGGGUAAUCAACUCGACUGAACCUAUACUUUUAUUGCAAAAUGCAUAAUCAUCAAGUUUAAGCAUAUAAAAUAAUUUAUAUGAACCAAAAUACAUAUCGAUGGCAGACAUAUUUUGUGUAUGUGUGUUAGAAAGACAGCAUUUUAUUCAUAAAUGUAAGACAAAAUCUAUCUUGAUCAUAGAAUAGGCAUGAUCUGUUGGUUGUUUGGAAUUUUUUUGAAGCCUAAGGUGUAUCAUUUACCUCUUGAGAGAUCAACAUGCAUAGCUUCAAAUUAACUUAACUUUGGAUUAGUUAUUCACCAAAAUGAUCAGAUUCAAGAGCCUUACACUUGUUGUCUUUUUACGUUAUAGUAGUGGUGUAACUCAUUCUAUUCCCAUGAGAACUCUUAUUUCACACAAGUAAUAAUUGCACUUUGGUUAAUCUUUUACAUAUCUCUCUAAAGGAGUUUGUGAACCAGGUUGUGCUGCUUUAUAAUAAGCAGAACAGUAGCACUGCAUCUUUUGACAAAAUAUUAAAGCUACUAUCUAUUAGGACGUGCUUAUUGUUUAAUUCUAAUCUUUUACGCUUAAGGUUGAUCAAUGUCUAUUUUUAAGCAUGAUCAGCAACCAAUUGUGAAAUCAUUGUAAAACUCGCACAACGAUACAACUAUCCAACUAAUAUUUAUAUGCUCGCUUGAAUGAUAUCUUAAAGCCAAUCAGCAACUCUCUAGAUUGAUUAAAGUUCGGUAUACUAAUUGCUUAAAUGUCAUCAAGAAACUGCCAGGAUAGUAUCAUGCUGAUGUUGUUGUUUCGGAGUAUAUUUUCUAAUAUGCCUAUGACUACAUGAUUCUUAUUUUUUAUGUGUUCUGAUAAAUCCAAAGUCCACUUGCUAAUUCUACUUCUUCUUUGUUUGUCACAUGUACACUCGGGAGUGCGUUUGGAGUUAGUAUAUAACUCCAUCUCUGUCCAAAUCAGAGAAGCGACAGAUAGCCGCAUAAGCUCGUGUCUAGCAGCCUUUAUCGAGUCAAAUAGUGUCCAACACUUCCUCUUUGCUCCGAAGUUUCAUAGUUUCUUACAUAUACAUACGCUUAUAGUGUUGUCUUUCGACUAACAUCUUACACAUUAGUAUUUCACUCUUAUAUAAGCUUGCUUUUAUUUUGUUUGGGUUUGUACGAAUCAACUUAGAACGAUGGUAAGACGUAGCUUCCCACCUCGCAUCCCUUUAGAUAUUGGGUUUAGUAUAGUCCCUUAGCUUAUAAGCAUUACUUUCUAGUUAAGUUUUAUUUGUUACUAAAUAUUUUUAGUCAUGAAAACACAACCUCACAAAGAAAUUCAACUUAGGAAUAAUGUUUUUUUCCCAAAUAUUGUGAACUUAUUUUCAGAUUCUUUUCAUAAACAAGUGUUUAAAGUGUGGUUUUUGGUAGCCUAAAAUGCAGACUUUAAAGUUGAGCGAACUGCAGAUUGUUUUAAGGUUAAUGAUAUCACUUUCUUAAGAGUUUAAGAGUGGUAUUUUGAGCCCCAAAAAUGCAUCAUUUUGAGCUCAAAAGAGUGCAGAAUUUGAGCUCAAAAUGUGCAUAAUUUGAGCAUAAAAGAUGCAGAUAUUUUUUGGUAAAAAAUGAAGAUUUUUAGCUUUAAAAUUGCAGAUUUUUUUUUAGUGUGAAAAUGUGGCUUUAACAUGCUCUACUAAGCAGAUUUUUUUAGUGUAAAACUGCAGGUUUUUUUUGAGGCUCAAAACACAACCAUUUUGUGGGCUUUAAAGUGUAAAAUUUAAGUUUAAAAAUGCAGUUUCUAAGAGGUAAAAACUGCAGCUUUUUAACAACUUCACUUUGCAGAUUUUCCAAGUAUAAAAUGUGCAACUUUCCUUAGCUUAAAUGUCACAUCCCUAACUAGAAAGGGGAAGACAUCUAGGAUAUACACAAGCACCUACUAAAGAUCUUACUAAUCUCAUGCCAAAGCUGUAGAUUCAUAAGCAACGGAACAUAUAUGAAGACACAUACUAAAACAAAGAUAACUAAAGGGCACGUUGGGCUACUUUACAACGGAAGCAAGACUAAGUCUACGAAGCCUCUAAAGAGUAUGCCUCUGAGAAUAUGAUAACUAGUCGGGACAGGGCCCCGACAUACCCAUUCUGAUAUAUGUACAUACGUAGCAAAAUAUAGGCUCUAAAUAUCUGAUAGCUCCAGGUAGAGGUGGAGCUUACCAACUGCUAAACUGGAAGUCUCUAGUCUACUGAAAUUGCUUGAUGUCUUGAGUACCUGAGCCUUAAUUCGGGACUUACUAUCUUACGUUGUCAAACUCCUUUGCUGAAAACUUUAUCUAUAUAUCAAAGAAAAGCAGCCCCUGCCCUUCUUUAUUCUCCAAGAACAAUACUUUUUCCUUUAGCUUUGGUGGAUUGAAGAUGAGAAAAACUUGAAUAAAUAGCUUGAAACCAGUCCUUACACGUUCUUGAGUAUAUGAGAAAGUAUAUCCCAAACUUCUAAUAUAAAAACAACAAGUUUGGCCAACUUUCUCUAAAGUGCCACAUGUCCCGCAGUGAUUAGGCAGAGCGCGCGUCUGUCGUAGAAUGAACAUAACUUUUUACUCCGAUAUCGUUUUAACGAGAGGUUUGUUUUGCUGGAAACUAGACUCAAAUACCUUCAAUUGGAUAGGUUGUAGGCCUUCUAACUCGUUAUAUAUUAGGAGAUAUGCAUCGUUCAAAGUCAGAUCAGAAAUGAGAUCAUUUGUAGUAUUCCUCUACAAUGAACCUUUAAACUUUAAUCUUUUCUUUAAUGAUCUCUUUGACCUAAAACUUUUGUUUAACCCUUAAAAUGACUAAAAACAAAGGUUACAUGGUAUACUUAAACCAUUUUCAAUGAUAUACCUCCCCCGAUAUCACAUCUAUGCAUUGGUGGUUACGAGUCGCAAAUGUAUCUUAAGUUACGGGAUAUUACAUUAAAGCCUAUUUCUUUUAGGACCUAAAGGUGCAUACUUUGAAACUAAAACGAUAUAGUUUGAGAGAUUAAAAGUGCACUAUCUUAAGAGGGUAAAACAAGUACUAUAGUUUUUGUUAGAAUUGUUGUUCUUUUAGUUUUGAAACAUACAUACGGCUCAAGUUAUUUGCUCCGAGAAGGACCAAAAUAUUUAGUAGCUUUAUUUAUCAAAUCUCACUUAGGACUUUAUGUUAAGAAAACUUAUCAUUUAAAAACUCCCAAAAUGACUUUUAGAUUAGUUUAAAGGCUAAAGUAAUUACCUUUUAGGAAAUAUAUAUAUUUUUUAGAAAAUAAGUAGGGAAGUAGGCUUAUUUAAUUAACAAAAAAAAGUAACUAUAGAAUAAAUCUCAAUAGCUAAGCCUAUCUUAUAUUCUUGACAUCACACCCUUUACAAAAUAUUGACUAUUCUUACUUUAAAAAAAAAAAUCAAUUAUUGCUAAACCAUUUUAAUUUCUUAAAAUGUUAUUUCAAUAUUUUAGAUAUGCCAAUAGGUUCAAAAUACAAGGUACAUACAUAUAUAUGUCAUAUGCAAAAAGUUACAAAUCCUAUAUUUUUUUAGUUUUCUCUAUAUAUAACUUAUUAUUUUGUUACACUUCAUAUUAUUUUUUCUCAUAUCUACUAUCACUUCUACAAAUGUUACUUAUUUUUUUAAUUCCUACACUUUAAAAUAUACAUUAUUUUACUACAUAUUUACACCCGAUUAAUAUCUCAUGUUAUUUUUUUAUUUUCUUUCAUGUCUUAAUUCUAUAUAUAAAUAAAAUGACAAAUUUUCAUAUCUUUUAAACUCAAUAUUUAUUUUUGAUACAUUUAUAUAAGGCACCUCUAUAUUCUUCAACAUAUAAAAUUGUCGUACAUUUUUAGUGCAUUUAUUUAUUUAUUACCAUAUGAUAAACAUACUACUAUCAAUUUUAUUUAAUAGACAUAUAUAUGUCGUACCUUGUAUUUUAAUCUUUUUCUUAAACUAAUAAAAUUUACUUACCAUUGAUUUUAAAGCAAAUAAAUAAACAAGUUUUCCUAAUUAUAUUUUCCUAAAUUGAGUUUAAGGACUAUCUUCGGAUAGGGUUUGAGGGAUGCUUAAUACCUUCCCCUCGAGUAACCAAAACCUUUAUUCAUAAUCUCACUAGUUUGGCAAAUCAAAACAGAGUUUACAUUUACAUAUUUAAAAAAAGGUUUUCCUAAUAUUUUCCUUAAAAUUUAGGUGGCGACUCUAAAACAAAAAUAUAUUUUUUCAAAAUUAGAGUGUCAGCCAUAUUUUGUUGUGAACUGUUUCGGCUAGUUCGGAAUAGGGGUGUGACAUUGCCUUUCUUCAUUUCAUCAGUUUGUUUUGUUCCUUUUUGCCUGUUAGUGUCCUUGCUUUGUUCCUCAAUCCAUAUACCUGAAAAUAAAGGAUUUAACAUCAGUUUAUGGCACAAAUUAAGCAUUUGAGGACACUAAAUCUAUAUAAACAAAGCCCCAAAUGAGUCCAAAUCUCAGACUCAUCAACACCCCCAACUUAAACUUUUUCUUGUCAUAAAGUAAAACUCAAGAUCAGGCAGUUCAAAAAGGGAUGUCUCAAAUAGUGCUGCAUACCACUCAACAUUAAUGCACACAACAAGGCUUAACUUACUCAUGCAAUGAUCAAUUGUGCACUCAAAGAUUCAAAUUGUAACUCACCGUUAUCAAAGAUGCUCAAGUUCACAAUAUUUGCUUCACAUACAAGUUCAAGCUCAACAAAAGUACUCAAAUGCCCUUACAACAAAGAUGAUUCCCUAUUCACACAAAGUUCUUCAACAAUUUAUAGUUCUGGGAUCACAUACGACUCUCACACUCACAAAGAUGAACACAUGCAUGGCUUCACCCAUAGGUUUCCCCUUAUUUUCCAAUCAACAAUUGUUUCAGCUCACUCAAGAUCACAAAAAUCUUUUCAAGGCUUGUAACGGGGAUGAGUGUAAAGGUAUGGUCAUUUAGGCUUAGUGGUUGCUAUUCUCAUGAAGUGUGGUCUCCACAUCACUUUCUUCCUUUUCUUUAACAUUUUGAUCAUGCUCCUAAUUCACCCCAUUAUUCAACUUCAAAUGAACUACCGGAUACCCCAUUUCUUUUGCAACUUCCACUACUUUAUUUCACAAUUUGUUUUCAUUCUUUUUCUUCUGCUUUCUUCUUUUAUUUUUUUUACAUGAAGGGGUUCUAUCUUUUUCAAAACCAUUGCUCAAAGGUGGAAUUUCUCACACUUCUUGAUUUCCCUUCUCUUUUCACCACACCCCAACUUAGGCUUUUGGACUAAGUUGACUAUUAAAACAAACCACACUUCAUGAGAGAUAUGGGUGAAUGGAUAAAGAGGGGUGACAAUUGUUCAAGUUUCUUCCAAGAAAAGGAUAAGACUCAAGAGUGUUCAAGAAAGGUUCACACAUCUCACAACGUUGGCCACAAAAGAGGUAUAUUGUCAAAUUGUUUCACUCUUCAAAAUUGUUGCCUAAGAUCAUUUCAAGUGCUUGUGCAUCACUUAGUCAACUGGACCAAUGAGGCAAAUUCUAGGUGUCAUCAUACACAAUGUUCAAGGUAAUCUCAUCACACAAGGCAUUGGCACCAAUAUCAAACAAGACUCCACACUUUCUAGCUAGUGUGCAAUGUUCAUCACAAGAGAUUCAUUCGAUUACCGGCUAGUCACAACGAGAUGCUAAAGGUUCACGCAAUGUCUAUGCAACUUCAUUUGUCCUCAUCGUAGCCGCACAUUCAUUUUGUUCAAUUAAUAACACUAUUCAAGUCAUCGAUAUUGAUCAUAACCGAUACUCAAAUUUGCACAAGAACAACCACAAUCACAGACAAUUGAGGUGGCACAAAAUAUUAAAAUAGGUCAAAACCAUUUCCAUAAAAAAAAAAGGAGCCACAAGCUCAAGCAUCCACAAGAUUAAGAUCCAUACACAAUCAAACACAAAUAUAGAUUGCAAAAACCCAAUUUAUACAAAUAAAAUGUAAUCACAAAAGGUAGCUAUGGAAAUACCUCACCCCACCCACAAAAGAAAAAAAGUUGUCGUCAAAUGCAACUAAAAUAAAGAUAAUCAACAAAAACAAUAGAGAGGGAGGUAAAGAUGUCAUCUUACCAGGAUAAGCCUAGGGUAAAGUCUGCAUCGUAGUCACUCCAUCUGUCUGGAUAUCAGUGCUCGGGGUCACAAUCUGGGGUUGGGCAUUAGUGCCCGAUGUAACAUCAACACUUGGUUACAAAUGUUACUUAUUUUUUUUUAAUCCCUACAGUUUAAUAUACACAUUAUUUUACUACAUAUUUACACUCGGUUACUAUCUCAUUUUAUUUUUUUUUAAUUUUCUUUCAUGUCUUACUUCUAUAUAUAAAUAAAAUGAAAUUUUUUCAUAUCUUUUAAAUUCAAUAUUUAUUUUUGAUACAUUUAUAUAAGACACCUCUAUAUUCUUCAACAUAUAAAAUUGUCAUACAUUUUUAGUACAUUUAUUUAUUACCGUAUGAUAAACAUACAACUAUUAAUUUUAUUUAAUAGACAUAUAUAUGUCGUACCUUGUAUUUUACUCUUUUUCUUAAGCUAAUAAAAUUUACUUACCAUUGAUUUUAAAGCAAAUAAAUAAACAAGUUUUUCUAAUUAUAUUUUUCUAAUUUGAGUUUAAGGACUAUCUUCGGAUAGGCUCUGAGGGAUGCUUAAACCUUCCCCUCGAGUAACCCAAACCCUUAUUCAGAAUUUCACUAGUUUCGCAAAUCAAAACAGAGUUUACAUUUACAUAUUUAAAAAAGGUUUCCUAAUAUUUCCUUAAAUUUAGGUGGCAACUCUAAAACAAUUUUUUUUUUUCUAAAAUCAGAGUGUUAGCCAUAUUAUGUUGUGAACUGUUUCUGCUAGUUCGAAAUAGGGGGUCGACAACUUGGCGACUUUGCUGGGAAACUUACUUAGGUUUUAACCUUAGAAAACUUAAUUUAGGAAUAAAUUUUGUGAUUACUUGUUUAUUUUCAGCUUAUUAUUUGCUUUGUUGAAAUGAUAUAUUGUUUUGACUGAAAGGUCACAAGUUAAAUCCAAGCCUGUGUUCCUUAUUUGUUCUAAAACACUACUUGUUUUUGCUUCCCUACACUGUCAUUUGCACUUUCUGUAGAGUCUUUGGUCGUACACAAACACACACACUAUACACGCGAGGGGUGUUCCUAUACUCCUCUAAAAUUCUCUUUGGAUUCCUUAGUUUCAGAGUUGGUGCAAUUAAGAUAGUGCGCAUUCUCGCAAUUACUCAGUCCCACUCUCAAUCAUCUAGGGAAAAAAAAUCCUACUCUUGAAAUAACUCUUGUUGCAUAGCCUAAGGAAAGACAAUAUAAGGUAUUGUCAUUGCAUUUAGGAAACCACUCAAAUGUCAAUGAGUUUCUUCUUUAAAACUCGAAGACAUAAACUUUGUGUGAAAUUGAUAUAAAUUAUCCAAACUAAAACACUUAACGGAUUUGGAGCAAAUAACUCAUCAUACCCUUUUAUCUUUCUUUCAGAUGCAAAUCAACCAAAACCUUCCUAAUAUCAGGAUGAUGACUGAGGUCCCCCGAACUUUGAAAGAGUGGUGGGGAAACAUCCGAGUGGCAUACGGAAAUGAGAUUAUGCCACACCUGCGGUCAUUAACUGAUCUAUUGAAUGUGGAGGCAAACAAGUCACUCAUUACUCUAAUGAUUGAAUUUUGGCAACCAGCAACAAUGACUUUCCAGUUCGCAGAUUUUGAAAUCACACCAACACUGGAAGAGAUAAGUCAAAUUGCUUAUUUACCGUUGGCUGGCAGAGAACCCUUGGCCCCGCGCACUACAUCGGGAAUUAGUUUUCUCCAGUCUUUGGGUUUGAGGGUAGGCCCAUGUUUGUGAAAAGCUGACAAGGGAUGGGUCAAGUUGGAUUAUCUGUUUAAAAGGGUUUGUCAUCGAGAUAGCUAUGAUAAGUUCCAGCAAGAAUUCUUCAUCUCUAGAGUUGUUUGGGAAAGGCACAAGGCUAUUUUUUCGUGAUGGCCUUUUUGGGUAUUAUGAUCUUCCCAAAGAAAAAAGGUUGUGUUGAUAUCAACCUACUACCUAUGGUCAUCUUCAUGUUUAGGGGACCUGUUACAGUGACCAGCGUACCCAUGACCGUGACAUAAAUAUUUCGAUCACUAUCCCUCUGCUCUAGAGGAUAUGAUCACUUUAAGGGAAGUAACCUUUUGUUACAGAUUUGGGUGUUGGAACACUUCUAUCAAAGAUAAGCAGAAAAUGACACUGAAGCAGACUUACACAACAAAAUUAGGAGCCAUGCGAUGAGAUUGAGCACGUGGGAUUCCCCAAAUAAUGAAGAAGGUUGGCGUCUUUUCCUGACCCACCUCACAGGGAACCGUAUUCAAUGGCGACUACCAUGGGUCCAUGGACUAGCUUUGUUGAGAGCUAACCAGGCCUAUUUCAUUGAGUUGAUUGGGUUGGAAGGCUUCCAGCCUUAUGCACCUCUAAGAGUCCUCCGAUAGUUUGGGAUUACCCAAGGCAUUCCCUCUAAUGGGUCAAAAUAUGGCAUUAUAGAGGUCGAUUAUGAAGGAAGAAUCCCGAUCGAAAGGAUCGCUGCUUUGGUACAAUGAUGGUGUGAUAUUCUCGACUCAGACAUGGGGGUUGAGUCAUGGUGCACGCCUGAAUAUUAUACUUGGUUUAUGAUGGGAGAAAUUCUCGCAAGACCUAGCUAUGAGGGAAUCUUGGAGUUCACAGACACUCAAAGAUCAAAUCAAAUUGGCACGGAGCUAUUGAACCUCAUGCACAUCACUAAAACCAUGUAUCAUAAGGUGACCCCAUGAUUUGUCGACCAUCUCAUACAGGUAGUUGAUGAUGAACCAAAUGAAGAAAUGGAGGAAGACCUAGAAGAGGAUCCUAGAGAGUUAACUGAGGAGAUGGAAGGGGAUUCAGAAGGAUAUUUAGAGCAUGACCCAAAAUUGUAUGACCCUGGAGAUGGAGGAGUGAUGAAUAUGGAGGAUGAACCUGUCCCAAUAGUAGAAGUCGCUCACUCGGAAUAUGGUUCUAUAGGGUUUGAUGAAAGGGAAGAUUCAAACAAUUGGGAAUAGAAGAUCGACGAAUCCCCAGAGUACCACCCAGGGCCAUUUUAUGAUAGGGAUGAUGACAGUGAUGAUGCCGUAGGUCGUCUUUCUUUUUCGAGCUCUCUCCUCAAAGUGCCGUAUGGCCUAUCCCUCUUAUAUACCCUAUGGCCACCCCCGUACUUUCAUUUCUUAGGCUUCUAAUCGCCUACCUCAAUAUACAUCCAAGACUACCUUAAUCAAUGAAGUUAUGUAUGCUCCAAAUUUAAAAUGUGUUUAAAUGGAUCAUUUAUCAUCAAACUAAUUGCAAUGUAGGCCUACCUCAACCAAAAAUAGGCUCUAUAUUAGGACGCGUUUUGAAUGUCGCCAAAUUGGAGUAUAUAUGUGUUACACUUACAUAUUUGUUACAUAUUUCAAUAUUGCCCAAACUAACAUAGUUUUCUCUUUUACUUUGUUUUCUCUUUUUCUUUGUUUUCUUUUCUUUUUCAUCAUUUAUCCCCUAAAGAACGUUGAUUUUUGUGGACUUUAAAACUGGCUGACUCACGAUACAACCUCCGAUCCAAAGGGAAGAUGACUGAUAGAGACGAGUUCAACGCUGUUGCAAACAUAAUGAUACCUAUUGAGAACCCCGUAGGUUCUCGAAACAUGACAGACAUCCAAAAUGAAGAGAAAAUGGCUCGCAUGGAGCAAGAACUCAAGAUCUUGAGGGAAGAAUUAUGCCAACUGCGAGACUUGGCCAAACUGUCGGCUACCACUUUCCCUACUUUCAAGACGCCUAUCUACUUCGCAAAGGCUGACUUGCCUUCUGCCGACUUGCCAAAUCAUCCAGAACAAAAUCAAGAGCACAUGGUCAAGUUCCACCAGCCUCUCCAACCGCAGUUUGGACCAUUCUUGACCUCUCUAAUCGCGAUCCUACCGUACCUACAAUGCAGCAAAUACUUGGGGCACAUGUCGCCGCUCCCUAUGAGCCACUUGUUCCACCUAUAUAUACCGCUGAAGCUCCUACCUUCACAACGCCAGUUGUGGUUAAUAUCCCGUACGAAGUUGAUCAAUAUGCAGAAAUGGAGAAAGAUGCCUAGCUAAAAGAAGAUGCAUCGAUAAAUGCCCAAUUUCAUGGUCUAAAAAAAGUGUUGAAAAUCUUACAAGUCACUAGAGGAAUAGAGAGUCUGGAUUAUGAUAACUUGUGCAUCCAGCCAGACAUUGACAUGCCGGUAGGGUACAAACCACCAAAGUUUGACAUUUUUUAUGGAAAAGGUGACCCUCACGUGCAUUUAAGGGCAUAUUGUGACAAGUUAGAUAAUGUAGGGAGAAAUGAGAAGCUGAGGAUGAAGUUUUUCAUCCGGAGUCUAUCUGGAGAAGCAUUGGCCUGGUAUACGCGCCAAGAUCCUCGAAAGUGGGGUGACUGGUAGGAAAUGGUUGAAGAUUUCACGAAUUGUAUUAGAUUCAAUACUGAAAUUACAGCUGACAAAUUCUUAUUGGCCAACAUACAAAAGAAACAAUCAGAGAAUUUCCAGGAGUACGCACGACGUUGGAGAACUGAAGUCGCAAGGGUGCAACCACCACUAUAUGAGAGUGAGCUCUCGAAGGACUUUAUUCGAGCUCAAGAAGGUGUCUACUUUGACAAGAUGAUGUCAAUGAUGGGCCAGAAGUUUGCAAAAUUGGUCAAGAUGGGGGAAUUUAUUGAGGAGGGUGUUAAAUGUGGAAAGAUUCAGUCUAUGGUCGCAUUACAAGUUGCAAGUAGGGCUAUACAAUCGGGCUCCAUUAGCGGCAUCUAAAGGAAAAUGGAGGAUGUUUCAACUGUCACUUACCAACAAGGAGGACUAUCCCACUGAUACUCCAACAAUCCCAAGAUUGUUGCACAGACUUCAUACGUCCCAUACCGAGUAUAUAAUACCCAACUCCACUAUAAUCCAUCCCGAGCACCAGCAUACCAUAAUCCACCAAAAUAGACCAACUUAUGCACCGAGGCCACGUUCGAAUCUCAAGGCUAGAAAUGCUCGCGUUUACACACCUAUUACUGAACCUUAUGCCCAAUUGUUUGAGAGGUUGAGGACAACAGAAGUGUUGCAACCAGUUGAAGGAAAAAUUCUCGAUCCAAUCCCUCAUAACUUCGAUGGAAACAAGCGAUGCGCUUACCACUCGGGAAUUCAAGGACAUGACACAAAAGAUUGUUAUGGUUUGAAGAACCAAAUCGAGUCUUUGAUCAAAAGAGGAGUAAUCAAAUGCAAUCCAGUACCUCCCAAUGUAAACAACAAUCCCUUUCCAAACCAUGAGAAUCGGGAGGUCAACAUGGUUACUCUAGAUGACAAAUAUGAGGGUCCCGACUACCCAAACAUAGAUGAAGCAGAUAUCAUGAUAUCUUCAGUGCAACCUGUUAUCGCUAUUCAACUAAGGGAACCUCUGAGCAUCCAAACAUAUCUCCUAAGAGUUGUAGUGACCACUCUAAUCGCCGAAAAUUCUGAGUACGACACCAAAGCAGUCCCAUGGGACUAUCAAGUAGGCGCCAAGGGCAAGAUGAUUGACACUGUCGUGGCUCAAGGAAUUACUAGGUCGGGAAUGUGUUAUUCCCUAGAGGACCUAAAUCAAACAGUUCUUGGAAAAGAACAUAAUCCAAAUAAGAAUGUUACCGAUGCUAAAGCCACAUAGUUUUGGAAGAAGAUGCAAUCUAAAUACUAUUCAGUCGAAGAGCAACUGAAGAAGACGUCAGCCCACAUAUCCAUUUGGUGUUUGGUUAUGAGUUCUGAAGGUCAUAUGAAUGCUUUGAUGGAGGUGUUAAGAGGAGUAAACAAUCCAAAAGAGACCACAAGUGAAACCUUAGUUGCAAUGAUUGGGAGAAUAGUGGAAGCUAACAAGAUUUCUUUCCAUGAUGAUGAGUUACCUGCAGAAGGGGCUGGGCACAACAAAGCGCUUCACAUCGUAGUCAAAUGUUUUGAUAAGAUUGUGACUCAAGUUUUAAUUGAUGGUGGUUCUGGAUGCAACUUCUGUCCUUUCACCACUCUGAGAGAUUUAGGCGUUAAUAUGAGAGAGAUAAGGGAAAGCCGUGUGAAAGUUAGAGGUUUUGAUGGAGCACAGAAAAGUGUCAUUGGAGAGAUCUCUCACAUUACAGGUGGGGCCAGCUGAAUUCCCCAUUCUAUUUCAAGUGAUGGAUGUAUCAUCCAACUACAACCUGUUGUUGGGAAGACCAUGGGUUGACAUGGCGAGAGCGGUUCCUUCCACUUUUCAUCAAUGUGUAAUGUUUGAGUGGGGUCGCACAGAAGUUACCAUCUACGGGGAGCUCAGUCACCCCAUCAUUUCUGUUAAUUCUAUCCCAGUCACUGAUGAGUUAGAUGGAACCACUUUUCACACUUUGGAAAUCAUGAAAGUUGUAAGGGUUAAUGAGGAAGCAGAGCCCGAGGAUAUCAAAUUGUCAAGUGCAGCAAAAAUUGUUGCGUCAGAAAUGUUGAAGUAUGGGUAUCAGCCAAAGAGUGGAGUUGGACAAAAGUCCAAUGGCAUAGUUGAGCCAAUCCAGCUGAAGCAUCAGAGAGGCAACAAUGGACUCGGAUAUGAGACUACCUUGGGAAGAGUCCAGCACGGGUCAAGCAAGACAAUUUUUGUACUAGAACAAGCUUUGAUUCCAGAUCAAGCUGGCAUUGAUGAAAUUGUAGAAGGAAUAGGUAAUCUAUUCGUGGCUACGGCUGGAGAAGAGGAAGAAAUAAAUCUCAACAAAUUGACCAUUCGUGAUGCCGAACCUGGAGAAAUCUUGUAGAACUGGACCAUCAGUCCGUCCCUGUUUCAACCAGAGUCCUGGUAGUGUGGAAAUGUAGUUUUGAUUUUAAAAUUCGCAUGAUCAAAUUGAGGGUUGAAUCAUGCCUAGUCUUUUGUUGUUUGCCUCUUCUAAAAGCUAGAAUGCUUUGAAAAUAAAAAAGUCUUUGUUUUUCAUUAAAAAAUUUCUCGUUAUUUUAAAUAUCUAUUUAUUUUAACUUACCUUUUGCACUUUUCAGCACUUAUAUUAAUAAAAAUUCCCGUUCAAUGGUUAUGACAUGUAACGAAUCCACCGAGCGAGGUGAAAGUGAUGAACAAGAUCACGAAGUGUAUUGUGAAAACAUAAUGCCUGAAAAUCUACCACAUGAGAUCAAGCAAGUUGAAAGCCAGAAGAAACAAAAUAUGGAUGAAACAGAGGUUGUCAACUUAGGAGAUGAGGAGAUCGUGAAGGAAACACGAGUAAGCAUACAUUUGGAGGCCGAAAGAAAGCAAGAGUUAAUACAGUUGCUUAAGCAGUACGUGACAUAUUUUCUUGGUCUUAUGAUGCCGUUGCCAUGAUUAAGCACUGAUAGUGUCUCGCACAAAUUACCAACUGAUCCUACUUGUCUACUAGUUAAACAAAAGACAACAAAGUUCAAGCCAAAUUUGAGUUUGAGGAUCAAGGAGCAGUAAUCUUAGCAGAAAUGGAUAGCAGAGUGAGCACAAAGCCAAUCAAUUCAGACGCCAUCAAGAAUACUACAUCUGAAGACCUCAAGAUUAGCGCUUAUUUUUUGUACUUUUGCAUUUUGAUGUAACAGAAUUACGUCUAGACCUAACUUCCCAUGGUGGGGUACGUAGGCAACCCACAUCGGAUCCGAUCUCCCUUAAAAAACCUAAAAUCAUUAUUUCCAUGUAUUUAGAACUACGCUCGACCUGAAUUCCCUCGGUGGGAUAUGUAGGCAAUCCUUAUCGGAUUCGGUCCCUUGCAUUUUUCUCUUCCCUAUUGUAAUUUGAACUACGUCCUGACCUGAUUCCGCUUGGAUACGUAGGCAGAUUGAGUCAUGCCCGGUCAUUGCAUUUCAUAUUUUUCACUUUCCUAUUGUAUCUGAACUACGUCCUGACCUGAUUCCGCUUGGAUACGUAGGCAGCCUAAGUCAGGCCCGGUCAUUUCAUUUCAUAUUUUUCACUUUCCUAUUGUAUCAAACUACGUUACGACCUGAUUCCACUUGGAUACAUAGGCAACUUGAGUCAAGCUCGGUCAUUGCAUUAUAGACUUCUAUUUCUCUCACUUAUAUUCGAACUACGUUAUGAUUUGAUUCCUACUUUGGGGAUACGUAGACAGCCUGAGUUAGGCUCGAUCAAUUCUCUGCAUAAUUUCCAUUUUUUUUCUUACCCUUAGGAAACACUUCCUCAUAGUUAGCGUAACCUCAGAAUUUGAAGAAUCUCGAUCGUCGCAAUGUCUGCAAAAGAGCUAGGGAAGCUUCACCAGGAGGGUAAAAGCAAGAAGACUAUGCUGGAUAUAGUCAACAAAAUGGAAAGCUAGAUGGACUUCAGAAUAUGUCAUAAUAUAAAAAUGUUGGAGAAUUACUAUAUAUAUAUAUAUAUAUAUAUAAAUAUACACAUAAUAUAUACGUAGUAUACUUAUUUUCUAGAAAAACAAGCGAAUUUUUUUCAAAAAGAUUUUUUCUACUCUUCCACCUACCUAGUCUCUAGGUUAAGAAACUACAUACGGGAUAAGAAGACGUAGAAGGAUUCUAAUGACGAGGCUUCAGUCCGCGAGUCGAUACAAAUCAACAACCCCUCCCAAACUAAAAAUUUCUUUGAGUGCAGGAACACAAGAAUCAAAAAAAUAACAUCAAGUCUCAGGGCAUGACCAGAGACGCCAUUCGACUUCUAACAAUCAUGUGCCAAAAUUCUCUUUCCCUACUUUAUUUCCCGAAAGUACUUCAACUUGCAUCUUAUAUCUAAGAACAUUUCAUUAAAAUUUUGCAGGUACGCUCAAGAUCCAGACCAAAUACUGAAGAAAGAGGAUCCUCGUAGGAAAAUAGGAUAGUUAGCUUUCUGUCAAAAUAACUCCACCAACUGGAGCUUGUAAACUAACCUCAUCAACAACUCUGCCAAUCGGAGACCACCGUCUAACAACACCAAACUCCACAAGUCUGGGGUUGUACAUAGCAAAUGUCACUCAAACCCCAUCGAUCGGAGGCUGUACAUACAAACAUCGGCCAAACUUCACCAAUUGGAGAUUGUACGUAGCAAGCAUCAUCAAACCUCGCCAAUCGGAGGCUGUACAUAGCAAAUUUCACUCAAACUCCGUCAACCAGAGGCUAUACGUAGCAAACAUCGUCAAACUCUGCCAACCGGAGGCUGUACAUAGCAAACUUCGUCAAACUCCGCCAACUGGAGGCUGUACAUAGCAAAGGUCAACCGAACUCCGCCGAUCGGAUCCUGUAUAUAAGCAAAAGAAGCAACACUCCGCCAAUCAGAGACUAACAUCGUAGCGACGUCACCGAAGCUCCACCAAUCGAGGGCAUGCAAGCAUAGAGACACUGUCAUACGCCAACAAUCAAAUGUUACAUUACAAGCUUUACACAGCCUGGUUUUUACAUUACAACAGCCUCGCUAGCCGAAGGCUUUACAUUACAAGCUUUACACAGCCAGAUUCAGCCUCUUACAUCACCACAGCCUCGCCAAUCGGAGGCCUCUACAUUACAAAUUACUUUACCUACAUCACGUUCACAACACAAAAAGGGGGACAUCAACAAUCGUUUGGACAUCUACACUCUACUCUUUACAUUACUAUUGCAAUUGAUAAUUUUUUUUGAACCACAACAGGUACUUUUCACCCUUUUACAUCUUUUGCAGGACAACGCAUUACAAUGAUGAACUCCCUCUAAGCGGCAAACUAGGGCAAGUUAGUGCAAUGUCAAGCAUCACUAGCUACGUCACGGAUUUAGUUUCAAAACUCAACUCGACUCGAUUUUUUGAAGUUCAUAUUUAUAUCUUACUUAUAACUCUUUCAUGUCUCAGUUCAUUAUAACUCGACAUUGGGGCAAUCUUUUUGAAAAUUCAUCCCUCUACCAGAGGUCUUCAAUAGAAAUUGCUACAGAACAUUUCUCAUUCAAGUUUCUUUAGAACUAUAUCUCGUCCCUCUAUUCGUGCUAAUCUCUUCAUACCUCGCCACCAAAAGAUUUCAGUAUUACCAUAAUUAGAUACUGGGGCAAAUUUUAAUAAAAUUUGCUAUGUUCCUACACUCUCGAACUACAUAUGACCUGAUUUCUUAUGAAGCCUGAGAUAUGUAGGCAACUUAGAAGCCAGAGUUCGUCCAUAACUCCAUAAACAUUUCUUGCCAAGUUAUUUGCUCAAAGUAUAUUUUGGUGGUUGCCUAAAUUGGAUUGUGCCAAUGUUUCUUUGUCCACGUCUUCUCUACUCUCCUCCAUGGACAAAGAAAGGGGCAAGCUGUUAACACCUAAUUUUGGCUCUCCACAUUAGUUUAACUAAAGUUUUAAUAAUAAUAAUAAUAAUAAUAAUAAAAAUAAAAAUAAAAAUAAAAAUAAUAAAAUAUAUAUAUGUUAUGAAUUUAUUGUAGGAAUACGAAAAGAUUUUUAAUUAUUUAUUUUAUUUGAUAAAAUUUAUUUCAUAAAUAUAUUAUAUAAAUAUUACUACUUACUUUCUCAUUUUUAAAAUUUCACGUCAAAUAAAUAUUGUUUUAAGGGUUAACUCAAUUUUUCUAAUUAAAUAUAAUUUCUAUUAUUGCGCUAAAUAAUUUUUUUGACAUUUUAAAAUUAAGUAGGCUUAAUUAUUUAAUAAGUUACUAAUUUCUAAUAAUUUUAUUUUUAGAAUAACUAAUUUUAUCAAAUAAGCUAGUCUUGCAAAAUAUUUUUUUUUUAAAAUUAUGGCUAUUUAAUAAAGAAGAGGUUAUAAUUUAAAUGAAGUUAAUUUGACCAAAUUUGGCAAUCCAAGUCAUUUUAAUUUGGCCAAUCCACGCAUGCCACAUAAGAAGCACAUGGAUUGUGCUUCUUCAGAUUCUAUCUCAUGCAUCCAAUUUAAUCUAAGGGCCCAAUUUAAUUCAGCAUUUUUCUAUCUAUCUAUCUAUCUAUAUAUAUAUAUAUAUUCAACACUUGAUUAAUUUUGAUCCUCCGAUCAAACGAUCAGACGACCCAAAAUGAUUAAGACUCUUCCUUCUCCCAAAAGAGACCUAUCAUCCGCUAUACUCUAGAUCAAUAUUGAAUUUUCCUUCUUCCCCAGAACCCUUACGCGUUUUCUUCUUCCACAGACAGAACGUCUUCUCCAUGGCCGCCCACGCUCGUUGCUUAGACCCCUACACUAGCUGCGUCUUCUCCAUAGACGCGUAUGACCGCCCGAGGCUCCUCUCCCAUUGCCUCCUAUGGCCGCACCCACGUGCUCCUCCAUCUCCUCGUCAAGGAAACGGCUCUGGCCGCCGGAAAAAUGCCCCAUCAUUCACUCAACCCUCUCAAAUCGACCAGAAAAGUUUGAUUCUUGAGAGAUUUUUCUUCUCCUUCAUGAUUUCUUCGCUGUUUCCUCUGAGAUUUGCGUUUCCAAGAAUUCAAAAUUUGAAUUCUAGGAGCCCAAAUUGACUAUAAAAGGAUGGACUUUGGGUCUCAACAAAACAUCAAAUAAUCGAUUGAAAAAAUCCAAAAACGAACGAAAACGAUCGAACAACAAUCCUGAAAUCGAACAACAUUUGAACAACACCAACAAAGGUCCGGAAAUCAUCUAGGAAGCAGAUUUUAAGGUUAUUAUCCUUUGUUCUCUGUUUCCGUUUUACUGCUUUGAGUUGAAGAGGAAGUUCGAAGUUGAAUUCUUGACGUCAAAGCCUUAGUUUGUUGCUCCAAGAAAGGUAAUUUCAUCUCCUCUUACAUUCUUUUUUCGAUGCAGCGUGUUAUGUGUUCAACACUUGGUAUAGAAUCUGUUAUUAAGUGUAUCUGAUUCCCCUGUCUUAGUCCCUACUUUAAUUUCGUCUUCUUGUAUGUCUAUGGGCAGUAGGUGUGAGUCAAGAAUCAGUGGAGUUGUUUGAAUGUUACGUGUUGAUUAUUAUUUUAUUAAUUUGAUUUUGUAUCCAUACAACUAGCCGAAUCUAUACCUUCUUUUUCUUGCAAUAGUUUGAUGUUCACUUAGUCUCCACGUCGAGUAUGCUAAUUGUGUAGCUCUGUUUCAUCACUGUUUGUUUGAAUCAUAACUGGAAUGCUGGCCGUGUUUCUCUUGUAUCUCAGCUGCUCAUAUCUUUAAUGUAAACUCGAGUUAGAAUCGUCUUAGAAAGCAUAAGACAUGUUCAUAUUGCUACUUUCGAGUUCUGCAACACGCGUUUAGCCUGCUUUAUAUUACUCGCUGCUGCUAAGUGAUAUCCAUGUUUAGGCUGAUGUGUUGCACCUUAGAUAUUUCAUAAGUUAUCUUGUUGUUUCGCAAGUCAUAUUUAAUUUAAAGUUCGAGGAGUCUCGAUUCUAAGUUUUAUUUACUACUUCAAGUAUAAUCAAACUUUGCCUAAAUAAUCAUUUUCUAAGUAUAAAUGAGCCAUUUCGAACUCUUAAGAUUAGUUCUUCCUGAUCUACUUUCCCCCCUUCGUGUUUCGUCUUCUCUUGAUAUAUAUUUUUCUUUCUGCUAUUUAAUGUUGUUAGUCAGGUGUCACUCACCAUGUUUGAAGGUUCCUAGCUCUUGUCAUUCUCUGAUUUAUGCCUGUUUUGGGGUAAUCAACUCGACUGAACCUAUACUUUUAUUGCAAAAUGCAUAAUCCCUAAGUUUAAGCAUAUAAAAUAAUUUAUAUGAACCAAAAUACAUAUCCAUGGCAGACAUAUUUUGUGUAUGUGUGUUAGGAAGACAACAGUUUAUUCAUAAAUGUAAGACAAAAUCUAUCUUGACCAUAGAAUAGGCAUGAUCUGUUGGUUGUUUGGAAUUUUUUUGAAGCCUAAGGUGUAUUAUUUACCUCCUGAGAGAUCAGCAUGCAUAGCUUCAAAUUAACUUAAAUUUUGAUUAGUUAUUCACUAAAAUGAUCAGAUUCAAGAGCCUUACACUUGCUGUCUUUUUACGUUAUAGUAGUGGUGUAACUCAUUCUAUUCCCAUGAUAACUCUUAUUUCACACGAGUACGAAUUGCACUUUGGUUAAUCUUUUUCAUAUCUCUCUAAAGGAGCUUGUGAACUAGGUUGUGCUGCUUUAUAAUUAGAAGAACAGUAGCACUGCAUCUUUUGACAGAAUAUUUUAGCUACUAUCUAUUAGGAUGUGCUUAUUGUUUAAUUCUAAUCUUUUACGCUUAAGGUUGAUCAAUUUCUAUUCUGUACAUUUACUCAAGCUGCCCCUGAUCGUAUAUUAGUUUGAAUAAGUUACAUGAAGUACGAAAUAUAUUUUUAAGCAUGAUCAACAACCAAUUGUGAAAUCAUUGUAAAACUCGCACAUCGAUACAACUAUCCAACUGAUUUUUAUAUGCUCGCUUGAAUGGUAUCUUAAAGCCGAUCAGCAACUCUCUAGAUUGAUUAAAGUUCGGUAUACUAAUUGCUUAAAUGUCAUCAAGAAACUGCCAGGAUAGUAUCAUGCUGAUGUUGCUGUUUCUGAGUAUAUUUUCUAAUAUGCCUAUGACUACAUGAUUCUUAUUUUUUAUGUCUUCUGAUAAAUCUAAAGUUCACUUGCUAAUUCUACUUCUUCUUUGUUUGUCACAUGUACACACGGGAGUGCGUUUGGAGUUAGUAUAUAACUCCAUCUCUAUCCAAAUCAGAGAAGCGACUGAUAGCCGCAUAAGCUCGUGUCUAGCAGCCUUUAUCGCGUCAAAUAGUGUCCAGCACUUCCUCUUUGCUCCAAAGCUCCAUAUUUUCUUACCUAUACAUACACUUAUAGUGUUGUCUUUCGACUAACAUCUUACACAUUAGUAUUUCACUCUUAUAUAAGCUUGCUUUUAUUUUGUUUGGGUUUGUACGAAUCAACUUAGAACGAUGGUAAGACGUAGCUGCCCACCUUGUAUCCCUUUAGAUAUUGGGUUUAGUAUAGUCCCUUAGCUUAUAAGCAUUACUUUCUAGUUAUGUUUUAUUUGUUACUAAAUAUUUUUAGUCAUGAAGGCACAACAUCAUAAAGAAAUUCAACUAAGGAAUAAUGUUUGUUUUUUCAAAUAUUGUGAACUUAUUUUCAGAUUCUUUUCAUAAACAAGUGUUUAAAGUGUGGUUUUUGGUAGCCUAAAAGUGCAGACUUUAAAGUUGAGCGAAGUGCAGAUUUUUUAAAAGUUAAUGAUAUCACAUUCUUAAGAGUUUAAGAGUGGUAUAUUGAGUCUAAAAAAUGCAGCGUUUUGAGCUCAAAAGAGUGUAGAAUUUGAGCUCAAAAUGUGCAUAAUUUGAGCAUAAAAGAUGCAGAUUUUUUUUAGGUAAAAAAUGCAGAUUAUUUUUUUUGUGUGAAAAUGUGGCUUUAACAUGCUCUACUAAGCAGAUUUUUUUUUAGUGUAAAACUGCAGGUUUUUUUUUAGGCUCAAAACAUAACCCUUUUGUGGGCUUUAAAGUGUAAAAUUUAAGCUUAAAAAUGCAGUUUUUAAGAGGUAAAAACUGCAGCUUUUUAACAACUUCACUUUGCAGAUUUUCUAAGUAUAAAAUGUGCAACUUUCCUUGGCUUAAAGCCUAUUUCUUUUAGAACCUAAAGGUAAGUACUUUGAAACUAAAACGAUAUAGUUUGAGAGAAUAAAAGUGCACUAUCUUAAGAGGGCAAAACAAGUAUUAUAGUUUUUGUUAGAAUUGUUGUUCUUUUAGUCUUAAAAGAUACAUACUGCUCAAGUUAUUUGCUCCGAGAAGGACCAAAAUAUUUAUUAGCUGUAUUUAUCAAAUCUCACUUAGGACUUUAUGUUAAGAAAGCUUAUCAUUUAAAAACACCCAAAAUGACUUUGAGAUUAGUUUAAAGGCUAAAAUAAUUACCUUUUAGGAAAUAUAUAUAUUUUUUAGAAAAUAAGUAGGGAAGUAGGCUUAUAUAUUUAACAAAAAAAUGUAACUAUAGAAUAAAUCCCAAUAGCUAGGCCUAUCUUAUAUUCUUUACAUCACCCCCUUUACAAAAUAUUGGCUAUUGUUACUUCUUUUUUAAAUCAAUUAUUGCUAAAACAUUUUCAUUUGUUAAAAUGUUAUUUCAAGAUUUUAGAUAUGCCAACAAGUUCAAAAUACAAGGUACAUACAUAUAUAUGUCAUACGCAAAAAGGUACAAAUCCUAUAUUGUUUAGUUUUCUCUAUAUGUAACUUAUUAUGUUGUAACACUUCAUAUUUUUUUUUCUCAUAUCUACUAUCACUUCUACAAAUGUUACUUAUUUUUUUUAAUCCCUACACUUUAAUAUACACAUUAUUUUACUACAUUUUUACACCCGGUUACUUUCUCAUUUUAUGUUUUAUUUUCUUUCAUGUCUUAAUUCUAUAUAUAAAUAAAAUGACAAAUUUUCAUAUAUUUUAAACUCAAUAUUUAUUUUUGAUACAUUUAUAUAAGGCACCUCUAUAUUCUUCAACAUAUAAAAUUGUCGUACAUUUUUAGUGCAUUUAUUUAUUUAUUACCAUAUGAUAAACAUACUACUAUUAAUUUUAUUUAAUAGACAUAUAUAUGUCGUACCUUGUAUUUUAAUCUUUUUCUUAAACUAAUAAAAUUUACUUACCAUUGAUUUUAAAGCAAAUAAUAAACAAGUUUUCCUAAUUAUAUUUUCCUGAAUUGAGUUUAAGGACUAUCUUCGGAUAGGCUCUGAGGGAUGCUUAAUACCUUUCCCUCGAGUAACCAAAACCCUUACUCAUAAUCUCACUGAUUUCGCAAAUCAAAACAAAGUUUACAUUUACAUAUUUAAAAAAAGGUUUCCUAAUAUUUUCCUUAAAAUUUAGGUGGCGACUCUAAAACAAAAACAAUUUUUUUCAAAAUCAUAGUGUCAACCAUAUUAUGUUGUGAACUGUUUCGGUUAGUUCGCGAUAUUGCCUUUCUUCAUUUCUUCAGUUUGUUUUGUUCCUUUUCGCCUGUUAGUGUCCUUUCUUUGUUCCUCAAUCCAUAUACCUGAAACUAAAGGAUUUAACAUCAGUUUAUGGCACAAAUUAAGCAUUUGAGGACACUAAAUCUAUAUAAACAAAGCCCCAAAUGAGUCCAAAUCUCGGACUCAUCAACACCCCCUACUUCAACUUUUGCUUGUCCUAAAGUAAAACUCAAGAUCAGCAGUUCAAAAAGGGAUGUCUCAAAUAGUGUUGCAUACCACUCAACAUGAAUGCACACAACAAGACUUAACUUACUCAUGCAAUGAUCAAUUGUGCACUCAAAGAUUCAAUUUGUAACUCACCGUUAUUAAAGAUGCUCAAGUUCACAAUACUUGCUUCAAAUGCAAGUUCAAGCUCAGCAAAAGUACUCAAAUGCCCUCACAACAAAGAUGAUUCCCUAUUCACACAAAGUUCUUCAACAAUUUAUAGUUUUGGGAUCACAUACAAAUCUCACACUCACAAAGAUGAACACAUGAAUGACUUCAUCCAUAGGUUACCCCUUAAUUUUCAAUCAACAAUUGUUUUAGCUCACUCAAGAUCACAAAAGUCUUUUCAAGGCUUGUAACGGGGCUGUGUGUAAAUGUAUGGCCAUUUAGGCUCAGCAAUUGCUACUUUCAUGAAGUGUGGUCUCAACAUCACUUUCUUCCUUUUCUUUAACAUUUUGAUUAUGCUCAUAAUUCACCCCAUGAUGCAACUUCAAAUGGACUACUGGAUACCCCAUUUCUUUUGCAACUUCCACUACUUUGUUUAACAUUUUUUUUUCAUUCUUUUUCUUUUUCUUUCUUCUUUUAUUUAUUUAUUUUUUACAUAGAGGGGUUCCAUCUUUUUCAAAAUCAUUGCUCAAAGGGCGAAUUUCUCACACUUCUUGAUUUCCCUUCUCUUUUCACCACACCCCAACUUAGGCUUUUGGACUAAGUUGGCUAUUCAAACAAACCACACUUCAUGAGAGUUAUGGGUGAAUGGAUAAAGAGGGGUCAGAAUUGUUCAAGUUUUUUCCAAGAAAAGGAUAUGACUCAAGAAGGUUCAAGCAAGGAUCACACAUCUCACAACGUUGGCCACAAAAGAGGUAUAUUGUCAAAUCACAAAAGAGGUAUAUUGUCAAAUUGUUGCCUAAGAUCAUUUCAAGUGCUUGCAUCACUUAGUCAACCGGACCAAUGGGGCAAAUUCUAGGUGUCAUCACACACAAUGGUCAAGGUAAUCUCAUCACACAAGGCAUUGGCACCAAUAUCAAACAAGACUCCACACUUUCUAGCUAGUGUGCAAUGUUCAUCACAAGAGACUCAUUCGAUAACCGGCUAGUCACAAUGAAAUGCUAAAAGUUCACACAUUGUCUAUGCAACUUCAUAUGUUUUCAUCGUAGUCGCACAUUCAUUUUGUUCAAUUAAUAGCACUAUUCAAGUCAUCGGUAUUGAUCAUAAUCGAUACUAAAAUUUGCACAAGAACAACCACAAUCACAAACCAUAGGGGUGGCACAAAAUUUAGAAAUAGGUCAAAACCAUUUCCAUUCAAAACAAGGAGCCACAAGCUCAAGCAUUCACAAGAUUAAGAUCCAAACACAAUCAAACACAAAUAUAGAUCACAAAACCCAAUAGAUACAAAUAAAAUGUAAUCACAAGAGGUAGGUAUAGAAAUACCUCACCCCACCCACAAAAGAAAAGCAGUUGUCCUCAAAUGCAACUAAAACAAAGAUAAUCAACAAAAACAAUAGAGAAGGAGGUAAAGAUGUCAUCCUACCAGGCUAAGCCCAGGGUAAAGUCUGCAUCAUAGUCACUCCAUUUGUCUGGGCAUCAGUGCCUGGGGUCACAAUCUGGGGUUGGGCAUCAGUGCCCAGUGUAACAUCAACACUCGCUCCAUUGGAUCCUGCCAUAGAAGUAUCCCUCCACGAUUUCUGAAUGGUCUAAUGUACCAUAGCCUCCUUGACCUCAGCUAGGCCCUCAUAGGUGGUCUCCUUCUGAACACCGAGUUGCUCCUCAUCAGUCUCAGCCUUGGACUAUGCAACCACUUCAUUAGCUCUAACCUCAUCUCCGGUGGUAGCCGAAGGCACAUCAGAACAGGCCAGAAUAUCAGUGUCCAGGUCACCAGGGAUCUCCACGGUCCCAAAAAUCAUCGAUAUAUUAGUGGACUUCAGCUGGUCCACAUCUUUCCUUAACUCUGCUAUUGAGGCCUUUAAGACGGUCACCUCAUGAAUGGCUCCCUGACCUCUCUAGCAAACAUCUAUCCUUGACGUAAGGGCAUCAAUAACAUCUCUAAGAGGUGUUAAAGAAGCAGUGAGAGAUCUCUCAAUCAUCCCAGGAACUACAACCUCUAGCCUGGAGGCACACACAUCAGCAAAAUGGUCUAGGUGGCCUAUUUGUAGCAGCAUGGCUUGGGUGAGUGGAGGUCGGGAUGCAGUAGUACUAGCAGUAGACCUAGGAGGCAGGGGAGCGGUAGAAGAACUCGGAGUCAUAAAGGGGGCAGGGCAAGAAAUAACUGAAGGCCCAGUGGCCGGAGUAGGCAAUAUUGCCUCUACAUGUAGUGUCUCACUAUCAAUAACCGGGGAUGUAUCCACCGAGGGUGCCCUCUUCUUCUCAACCUCAUCCUUCAAGUACUCAACCUCAAUAUGCCGGAUGUCAGUAGAUGAGGUGGGAAUCACUUCCGCGUCCUUCUUCUCAUCACGUGGAACUCAGGCUCGUCUGCACAACUCGGUGAUCAAAACUGGAAAAAGAAGAGAUGUAUGUUGCUUCCUAGCUCUCAUGGCCAUCUCCUGUCUAAUAAUGGCACCUAGAUUGAUGCGCUUCCCUGUAAUGAUGGAUCCAACACAGGCUACCUUUGUGUGGCAGAGGAUAGACUCGUUAUGGGACGGCAUAAUUGUGCUACUAAUGAAGCCGAACCAAUACCUCAGUGCCACAUUUAGGUCUCUCUUCUCUAUUAGCACUCCGGCCUCGAUCCACCUAGGAGUAGCGUCAGACAGGAGAGGGGCCAACCAACCUUUCAUAUACUCCAAAGUCGUUGUCUUGAUCAUGCUCAGGUAGUCAUUGUUGUCAAUGCAUUCCAAAACAAUAUUUAUGUCAUCACUAUCACAUUUUACCUUCCUUUCCCCGACAUCUACAUAAUCCACUGGUUUGAAGGUGGCAGCCUUCCACUUUCCUUGUGGCACCAAAGCUCCAUAGGUAGUGUAGAACUCCCAGACCGAAUUAGAAAUGUAAGGUCCCCAAGGUUUAGUUAAGAGCUGGAAGUUGUGGGAUUUCAGGGUGCUCCAUAUCUCUGGAUAUCUGUCCACCACACCAUCUGUGGACAUUCUCUUCUCCUCGAUGAUAGCCCUCAGUCCUCGACCAUUAGUUUAUUGAGAGACUAGGGGGAAGGACCCUGUGCAGGUGGUGCGACCACAGUCUGAUCUAGAACUGGAGGAGGAGGAGUAGUCUGAGGUACACGGAUCCUAGACGGAUCAUGCAUCCUCUUGGAGCAUAUUUCAGCUCUCCGGGCCAAUAGAAGUUGGUCAUCCUUAGGCUCAGAGAUUACAGCCUGAGGAUCCUGGUGUACUUUCUCGCUUCCAGAUGUGGUAAGGUGAGUCGCGUAGACUUCUUCAUUAUCGGAGCUGACCUCCGGUGACUCAGUUGCGGACGCCUUGCCCUUUCCUUUGCCUUUCCCACCUUUGGUAGGAAGUUUGGUUGCCUUUGCUUUGGAUGCCGAUCCCUUCUCAUUUAUGAUGAUACCUUUUGCCCGCUUGCGAAGCGGCAUGUUUCGUCCUUGAACUUUGGGUCUAGCCAUAGCUGCAAAACACAUUGAAAAGUGUUAGAAAUCAUUCAAUAAAAUUGCAGAAAUCAAGUUGCAGAAAAACUCGCCGAAUCAGUCGGCGAGUCGGCGAGUCGCUUAGGCAAGCCACAUUUGGCUCGCCAAAGAACCAGCUUGAAAAAUUUACAGAAAUAAGGCAUGUCGGCGAUGCGCAGGGCCCUUCAAAGAACCGCCGACACCACUCGGCGAGCUCAGACUAGCCCGCCAAAAAUUACAGUGUAUUUUAGGGUUUAGGGGCACAGAAAGGGUGAUCAAAGGAACCUUUCGGCGAGUCACCGAGUGAACUCGGUCACUCAACAUAGACAAAUCAAGAAUUAAGGGCUAUCAAAGGGGGACUUUGGCGAACCGCCGAACCGUUCGGUGAGCUUGACCCAGCUUGCCAAACUUCCCAAUGUGCCAAUUUUAACCCCGUUUCCAAAAAUCAAGCCUGCAGCCCCCAAAAUCACAAUCAAACACAUACACUAUGCAAUUCAUACCAGACCCAUAUGACCAAUGCCUUCGAGGUACUCAGAAUUCCCCCGAUUUGGCCAAAAUUGGCUAUUUGACGACUUUUUCCCUGAAGAAUGACAUCAAACGCUCCAUCAUUGGGAAAAUUACGUCAUUUGGCACAAUUUGGGGUUACUCAGACUUUACCCCACUAGACCCAAUACAAAAUAACCGCAACCCAACAUUUUAGAAUCAAAUUAAUUGCACAAAACACGGGAAAUCAUCUUUUUAAGCAUUUAGGCACAAGUUCAAAAACAAUACGGGCGAUCCGACACAUAAAAACCGAUUUAAACAAUUACCCAACACAUAUCAACACAUAUUUACCGAAAGCAUUUGAGUUCAACCACUAAUCAAAGGUGCGGUGUUCAGAAAACCAACAUGUAUACCGAAUUGAGAAUUUGAAAAGCUAGGCGGCAAAGUAUUCCAAUUCUGAGCAUGUGAUCACACACAAAAAUGAAUGAAGAAGUAAAAUACAGAAGAUCUAAAGUGCAGGAGAGAGUGUACGGGGUAAGAAAUGAGAGAAUAUGAAAUAUUUUGAAAUUUUAAACCAUUUGGCCUUUUAAAACCUUUCAGUUCGCAUCCCUUUUGGUGGUGUAAGUCGUCCACGCCGAACCACUCAUGAUGCGGCGAGUGGUAAUUCACCUUGCCGAGAUUUACACGACCUUUAGUCAAUUUUGGGGUCCAAACGGUGGACAAAAAUGGGCUCGCCACUUGUUUGGCGAGUCGCCGAUUGGACUUUUGGCUCGCCAAACCUCCUAUUUUCCAACACACUUCACUUUUCAACCUGCACAAUCAACAACUGUUAUUCAAAAUAAAAAUUAAAGCAUUAUUAACUUGGGUUGCCUCCCAAAAAUUGCCUUAGUUUACGUUGUGGCACGACGCAAGUACCUAUUCCAACUUCAUUUUUGGGGUUUGCCAUUUUAUCACUAGGCAACCCCCCUUGUUGUCUUGGAUUCAAAUGUGACAAAAUUUGACCCAUUUGGGUCUCCAGUUGCUUAAUAGAGACUGAGUGAGAGGUCACCACCUGAUUCAGAGUCGAGACAUCCUCUUUCAGUUCUUUCAACACUUUGUCGAACCCAUAAACCUUGUUGAGAAAGCGAGAUAGCAUGUCUUCCGUACGGCCACCCUCAGAUUGUUGGGCUUUUAACGCUCAUAGGGAGGAACAUAUAUAUCCUUCUCCCACUCUCUUUUCUUCCAAGUGAUGUUGCAAUCACGCCAAUCUUUGUCAUGGUCUGUCUAGCCCUCAUCUCUAUUCUAACCCUGAUUUCCACCCGAUCUUGGGUAGUUAGCACGAUAACCUCCUUCUUGAUUGGAUAGGAAGUUCACUUUCUUAUUGUACAUUGCUUCAAAUUGGGCCUCAUCGGGGUUUACUCCACCAAUACCCACAACAUUAACACUCUUCGUACCAACACCCAUGACAUUUUUAGACAAGAUAUCCAGCUGUGUCAUCAUCUUUGCCAUGUUUUGGUCUCUCUCUUGAUCUUUCUCAAUAUGAUCCUUUGUCAUUCUAAAGUUGAGAGGAGACUUAGUCCUCACGAGUAUACCAUACCCUGUUGAUCUUGGUCGUGCAAUCAAAGAGUUGGGAAGCUACUUCAUAGGUUUGUUGCAUUAUACCACCGGGAGCAAGUUGAUCAACAACUCCUUUGUUCACCGAAUUGAGGCUCCUAUAGAAGUAUUGCAACAACACAUUAUUUGGCAAUCCAUGAGUUGGGAAUUGCAUCACCAACUUUAUAAACCUCAGCCACGUCUUAUAGAUUGGCUCACCUUCCAAGCGUUUGAAACCUUGGAUACUAUAACUAAGAGUCAUCAUCUUCGAAGGGGAAAAAAUUACACUUGGAAUGCAGUAGUAAGUUCAUCCCAAGAAGUGAUGGAGUCUCUUGGCAACUCAGCCAACCACUUGCUAGUUUCACCCAUCAGUGAAAAUGGGAACAAUCUAAGAUGGACUUAUUCUUGCGAAAUGUUCUUAAAUGAGAACGGUCCACAAACAUCAACAAAAUUUCGGAUAUGCUCAUAGGGAUCCUCAUGAGCAAUCCCCCCAAAAUAAUCCUUUCAAUUGUAGGAGCUGAAGCAUGGUGCUUGUGAUGUGAAAAAAAUAGUGUUUCCUUCAGCCGGAGGUAAACGAAUGGCUCCAACACCACCCAUAUUGACUGUAUCAUUGAUGUUUGGGUCAUUAACGUCAUUGAGGUUUCCGACAUCAUCUUGGUGGCCCACUUGGCUACCAUUACUUCCGUUAACGCUCUUGUCAUCCUUUAUUUAACACAAGAAACAAAAAACCAAAACUAAAAUAAGUAGAUUCAACUAUAAUUAAAAAUAUCACAAUUCAACUUCACAAAAAGAAUUUUAAACAACACCACUCCCCGACAGCGACACUAUUUUGACUAACGUUUCAAGCACACCUCAUCCAAUUCUACGUGCAAACGAUCGCUAAGCAGUAUAAAACCCAACAAAGAAUUGGGGUCGAAUAUUACAUAAAGCGGUACGUGUUCAAAUUCAAUUAGGAAGUACAAAUGUGGUCUAAUCAGCCAUAGGAAUAGAAAUUAUCAAAAAAAGACAUGAAUCAAAUUAAAAGGGGUGACACGAAUGUCAGAUGGGGAGGAGGGGUUUGAUUUUCAAUUAUCAACUACAAAGCAGUCAAGGUUUAAAAGUUCCAAAACGAACAACCAGGUGACAGUACUAUUAGUCCUAGCAAGUCAUAGAUUACUUGGGAUCACUAGUCGAAAGCUGUAAAUGAGAAACAAGAGGCAUAAAUAUAGAAAUUGCCUGGAGGUCAUUACAAGUAUUUUGUUAAGAUUAUAUAUCAAACAUCAAUAACUUCCUGAUAAGAUUCUAUAAUAGGAAAGAAUAAGCCCAUAACUUUUUUCAUCACCGUAAUUUAGAAUUAUGGAAAUGAUGCAUUGUAAGAAAAGAGUUUGUAUAUUCAUUUAUAAUAGCUUGGAAACAAAUAAAAAAGUUUGUAAUCAAAUAGAAAAUUUUCACAGGUAAUUUUACUACUAUUUAUAUAACUGAAAAGGGCCUGAAAUACCCUCAAACUAUUGAAAAUGGUACAAAACUACCUUCAUCCACCUAUUGGCCCCCAAAUAUCAUUGUCAUCCAUCUAUUGGCUCCCAAAUACCCUCUCAUCCAACUUUGGUUCCAAUAUUGACCACUUUUAUAGCAGAUUAUCAUUUCAAUAUUGUUUUUUAAAAUAUGUGAAGAGUAUCAAUUGGUUACAAUUUAAUUACUUAAAUUAAUUUACAAACUAACCUAUUAUUAAUUAUAUUCGACCCAAGUUAACUACACUUCACUCAAGUUAACUACACCCAACCAAAAUUAACUACAACCGCCCCAAGUUACAUUUACUUAACUGAUUAAAACAAAUACACCCUUCAUUCCCAACAUUUCACUUCAUAUUUCAACCUUCUUCCCCAAUAUAUUCCCCUACAAUCUCGAAAAACACUACCUAAAUACACCUGUAGCACCAUAAAAAUCACCAAUACACUCAUGCUUUUUUAUGGUGAUACAUGAGCAUAUUGAGGUAGUGCUUUUCGAGAUUGUAGGUGAAUAUAUUUGGGAAGUAAGAUUGGAAGAGGAAGUUAAAUGUUGGAAAUGAAGGGUGUAUUUGUUUUAAUUGGUGGCGUAAAUGUAAUUUGGGGCGGGUGUAGCUCAUUUGGGUUGGGUGUAGUUAAUUUGGGCCGGGUGUAAUUAGUAAUGAGUGGGUUUAUAAAUUCAUUUAUGUAAUUAAAUUGUAUCCAAUAGAUGGUUACCAUGCAUUUAAAAAAAUUAAAUUAUUUAAAUGAUAAUUAGUUAUAAAAAUGGUCAAUAUUGGACCCCAAGAUGGAUGACAAGGGUAUUUGGGAGCCAAUAGGUCUAUGACAGGGGUAUUUGGGAGCCAAUAGGUGGAUGAAGGGUAAUAUUGUACCACUUGCAAUAGUUUAAGGGUAUUUGAGGCUCUUUUCCAUUCAUAUAAUUAAAUAAGAGUGGCUAAAAUACUUUAUAACUUCCUCGAUUCUUGUUCCCCUUAAAAGUCUAUGAUUACAUAAAUCUUGUUGAUGUUCGUUUAUCAUAUUAUAACGGUAUAAGAUGAUCCCUUAUGAAAACACAGGGUUAUGCAUUCAGCUAGAACCUCAAAUUUAUUGUAAAGAUGCAUCAAUACCAAUUGAAAAUUUUAAAUUAUUUGAAGAAAAAAUUAGGAAAUUCAAUAAAAUACAAUUACUCUGAGGACUUUAAAAUUUAACAAUAAAAAUAUUUUUUUCUUCUUUAGACUUUUAUUAUGUUUAUUAUAAUCAAUAUUUAAUAUUAUUAAAGUAAUGAUAUACUAAUUAAAAAAUGUGAAAAACGAUUUCAUCCGCCCCAAGCUUUGAAUUUUUUUAGACAUUUUUAUUUAUUUAAAAAGCAAUGCAUAGAAGGAACAUGAACGACAAAAAGAAUAGUGAUUCACCUAACAAAUUUAUAAUAGUAUAAAAUAAAAAGGCAAGAAAAGACAAAAAAACUAAAUUGCACGAGUAAAAAUAAAUAAAUUUAAAAGGAACUCAAGAAUUACAAAAAUUAACUGUAUCUCUGGGAAGAACUCCAUCUACCACUCCUUCGAAGAGCUAUGUAGUUGGUGUUAUAGCUUUCUCCAACUCUUGCAGAAUUUAUAUUGAAGUCUUCUUAAAAUUUCUUGAAUGUCAUGUCUAUCCCCUAUUUAUAGUUAUAGCGGUUGACAAGGUUGCUUAUGAUUGACCAAAAGAUGUCAUUUUGACACUUGACAGAUUGGGAUUGGUUCCUGAAUUUAACUGGGAUUACCACAUAAUUUGGACAUGUUGCAUCACCCUGUUGGUCUAGGAUGCCUAGUCAUUUUGACACAUGUCAUGAGUUCGGGCUUCAAAGUAGAAUAUACCUUGGAGUUGAACUCAAUAAAAUGAACUUAUUCAUUUGUAAAGCCCAAAUUAUUCAUUCAACCCAAAUGCAUAUGGAUUUAAUUCAAAAUUUUGUAUGAAUUUUAAUCCAAUUAAAUUUAGGUGCCUACAAAUGCACCUUACUUCAACACUUGUCGACGUGUAGGCUUGCAAAAACGUGACGACGAGACUUUAUGUAUUCAUGAAUUUGUUUGUUUUAGACUUGUCGACUUGUAGGCUUACUGAAACUUGAUGACAAUACAUGAAGUAUUCAGGAAUGUAUUUUCAUUUUUUGAGACUAGUCAAAGUGUAGGCUUGCCGAAACUUGAUGGCGAGAGUUGAAUUCUUAAUGAAUGUGUUUUCAUUUAUGAAACCUCUGGUGUGAAGACUUGACGAAACUUGUGGACGAGAUCAAAUCUUCAUGAAUGUGUUUAAUUUUAGACCCUUCAAAAAUAUUUGUUUCUUGUCACCGCAUUCUUGCUAGACCACUACAAAUGAUUUGUUUGCAGUGAUUCUAAUAUUUAUUCUAAAACAACAUUCUUUCUCAACUACAAUGUGACACCUCUAUAUCAUUUGAAAUAGAUGGGUCUAUUUAAUGAUAAUAUUUUUUCUUGUGACCUUUGUCGCAAGAAAUCAGAAAACAACAAAAUUAAUUAGAGCUUUUGAACCAAAUAAAAAGAAUAUUAAAUUUUCUUUGGUAUCUAAGUCAAUUAAUGAAUCUGAUUAAGGUGUACUUCAUUUCAUAAAUCUUUGGUUCAUCCUUUCCAUAUUGGUGUGGUUUAAAAAAUUGCCACUAUAUCAAUCAACCCCAAUCAGAGUUUCUUCUUCCAGUUUCACCAUAACAUUCCUUGUGCAAGGAUUAUAAAUCUUUCACCAUAAUCUCAAUAUAAUCCUCUCCAAUGCACAAAGGAUUUUCGUCACACAAACUUUCAGAUGAUGCAAAGGCAAGUUGCCCGAGUGUGUUUAACCGUUAAGCUCCAACGCUGCUCGAUUUUAUUAAAAUGAGUAAUGUAUCCUCCAUCAUAUUUCAAAAGCAUAGAGUAAGAGUAUACUCUGUACUUUCUCAGGUAGCUUUAAGUCUUGUUUAGCAGUAACCCAUUUUUGAUGGUUUAAGUUUGCAUGUUUGUAGUGUAAAACUAGUAUCUAAUUGUAGAAAAAUUAAAAUCGCAAGUCGUUUGUAAUUUCCAUAAUUACAAAUAUGGAACUAUAAUAUAGCAAAGAUUUGCAGCCAAAUUCCUCUUCCAUUGCUAGCAUUUUGAUAUUUAAUAUUGAACCCAUUUUUUAUGGUCAGAUUUUGUGCGAUUGUUGUGUAAAAUUCAUAUCUCAUUCUUGAAAAAUAAAAAUCACAAGAUGUUGAAUUUUUCUGAAACUAGAAACAUGGAACAACAAUGUAGCAAAUAUUUGCAACAAUUUUUUCUACCAUUGCUACAGUUUUGAUUUUUAAUAUUGCACUCAACUUCAUAUUUGCUCGUCUUUUGAUUUCUCCAAUUGUGUUUUCACCGAAGUAAUCCCCAUUUUAUUUUCAGACCCACGUUGUGCAAUAAAAUAUCCAGAAGUAACAAUGGAUUUAAUUGACCGAUAUAGGUUACAUACCCUUUCCUAGAGAUCGUGGAGAAUAAGCAACAUUUGUGUGCCAAAGUUCUCACCUUGAAAGUUCAUGUUCUGGUCAUUGACGCCUUCCCACUUGUUAGAAAGCUUCUGGAUACUUCUCAUAAUCUUCGACAGUGGUCGUAAACAGAAAUGAAGGACACCAUAGACAAUUUCUCUAGCAAAUUCACAACUAAAAAAGUUCACCUCUUGAAGUUUUUCCGUCAUAAAAAUGUUGUUGUUUCCAUCCCUCCUCUAUGUGAUUAGAAUCUUAGCAGUUGGCGUGUUCCUCCUUUUGCAUUUGGUGAGGUUUAAGAUAUUAUGUUCACAUAUGACCAUAACAAAAAUAUUCUCUACACCUUUUGAGAGAAUUGGCGUCCAUCCACCCAUACAGUCUCUACCGUCAUCGGAAGAGUUAUAUAUGUUUAAGAGCUAUUGGAGGCCUUCUAUGAUGAAUUUAUACCCUAAGCCAAAUGAGUUGACAUAUGUAGAUGACCAGGGAAGUCUUUUCUCCCAGGAAGCUGCUCAUACUUUUUUUCGGCAUUCUAUCAACUUACAAAAGGUGUCAUCGACGAAGUCUCCUUUUGGGUAUGGACAAUGUUCUAGGUUAGGGAAUUGAGAAAAUAUGUUGAUUCUUCACCAAGGAUGUUUAUGAAUUGGACGAAGCCAAGUAUGAGUCAUGAUUCUUCGUGGAAUAUUCACAUGAGUUUUUUUACCUUAAACCGAAGAGAAGAAUGCUCUUUUCGUGGAGCUAGGCAUGGAAGAAUCACUUAGGGAUGAAACAUAUCUAGCGUCUUUUCUUGCAUAUUCACUUUGCAAGUUUUUUCUUCCUAAUUAGAAGGUUGAUAUUGUUCAUGCUAAGGUCUUCAAAGUUGUAAGCUUGAUGGCUCAUGGAGAGAAAUUUUCUUUGGCGGAUCUAGUCUUUGCAAGCAUCUAACAUGGCCUCAAGGAUAUAUACACUUCAUAAAACAUAAGUGCUUGAGAAAAAGUAUGAGUAUUUUGAGAUCUACUACCAUGUCACCCUACCCUAAAAAGGUGUGUGAAUGUGGCAGAUAUCUGGAGAAAAGAUGGAAAAAUGUUUUGGCUUUGUUGACGCUCCCAAGUUAUUGAAACAAGUGAAUGUGUAUAACCUUCAUAAUAUGGAAAUGCUACAAAGAAAAAUAGAUACAUAUUGAUGAUUGUGAAAAAUAGUCUAAUUCCUAGAGAGAUUUCCUUAUAGGCCUUCAUUCAAGUAUUAGUAGUUUGAUACAAAAUGAUGAUCUCAUUGUGGAGCCUUAUAGCCCUCACCAAUUUGUAAUGACCCUCAGGGCCAUUUAUGUGUUUUAUGCAUUUUUUCCUAUUUUGCCCCUUUAUGUAGCUUUCUUAUUGAUUUUGUGUGCUAUUGGGUUGGUGGCACGCUUUUCGAGGUGUUCAGUUGAGUUUUUUGUGAGUUUUAAGUUUUGGAAGCUUAAUGCUUGGAAGAGUUGACUUCAGUCAACAUCCAGAGAUUCUGAUUUCGGAUGGCAUUUGUGUAAGUUUCGUCAGCUCUAGAAGGGUUAUUUUGGUCUACUAUGAUGAUGUGUUUGGGUUUAGAUGACUUCAUUUGAAGUUUGUGCAAUUAGGUGAUUUAGCUUAUAAGUUUUCCUUAAGGUUUGAUGCUGGUCCACUUUCUUGGCAAAAUGUUCUUAGAAUCCAAUUCCAUCAGUGCAGUUAGAUCAGCAAUGUCGAGUUUAGUCUGGAAUGACCUUUGGUUAAGAUCCUGGGGUGUUAGGGUUAGUUUUUAGCUUUUGGCAUUUCUUGUUUUCUAUGUUAAACUAUUGACUUUGGUCAACAUUUUGACGAUACAACCUCUAUUGGUUGUUUCAUUGAUUCUGUUGAGUUUGGAAAUUUGUUUCGAAGUGGUUUGCACAUUUGGUUUUCUUCGUUUUGAUGCCGAAUGAAUUCCGAGGGAUUGUUUGAAGUUUCUGGACACUCAACCUUUUUACUGAAAAUCAUAUAUCUCGUGCAUAGGCUUUUGUGAACCAUUGAUCGCUUAUAGAAUGUUGGCUUAAAAGAUCAAGGGCCACUUAAGCGAAGGGAAGCUGUAGGACAUGGCUCACUUAAGCAACAAACCCUUGGCUUUUGUGAAGGCCACUUAAUCGACCAUAGGCUUACUUAAGCAAAUGGUGCCUCUUAAGAGGGUUCACUUAUGUGUAGCCUAUGUUAGCUUAAGAGAUGUUCGCUUUUGUGAACAUUUGUCCUCUUUUGCGAAGACCGCUGGGAUUUAACCCAAUUUCUCCUCGUUUUUUGUUCAAACCUGAGACCCAACUCAUUAGAGCUCGACUUAGGGCAUUUUGGAGAAAUUCUUGAUGAGUUUCAACCACUAUGGUUAUGCUUUUCCUUUCCCUCUCCUCUACACUCAUAUGACUUUAAUUUCCUAAUUCAAAUUCAUUUCCGACCUCAAAUUUCUUUGUUUUUAAGCUUUAAAGUUUGGUAAUUUGGCCAUUUGAGGUCUGAAUUGAGUCUCGUUUUCGCCCAUCUUUUGGGAAUGUAAUUUUAUUCUGGGAAGAAAUAAUGGCGGUUUUAUUUUUGUAAUUCUGUUUCUUUGAUUAGAGGGUCAAUUUUUGACCCAAUUCUGAUUUGGAAUUGGGGUUAAUGAUAUGGGUAACGUUGGAUCCGUAUUAAUUUGCUUUUUGUGUUCUUGAUAGUUUUGCAACAAUUUGAGGCUCUCAAGAAGGAAAAAAUGCAUGAUUUAUUGUUCAUGUGUGGUUUUCGACCUUAAGGUAUGUUAUUUCUUUCUUUCCUUAGACUUGUCUUAGCAACACUAAUUAUAUUUGAGUAGUAUUACAUGAUUUAGGUUUAACCCUUUGGGUCUAUUGUGCUUUACUAAUCCUUGAAUAGUUAGGGCCAUAGGUUGGGUUGUUUAGCUUAGGUUUUAGUUGGAGAAUCCUUAGUUAAGGUGACUAUCCUUAGACUAUCCUUUUAGAUGGCGUGAAUCUUAGGAUUGUAUUGUGUUUGAUUGAUUUGGUUGAUGGCUUGGGUCCUUGUGUGAUUUUGUUUGUUUGUUUAACUUUUGGGCCUGAGGCCAUAGGUGUGGAUUGGCAGGAUUACUAGGUUAAUACUCUUGUGGUGUGACAUGUAUUUUUUCCUAGUUUUAUGUGUUUGAUAUGAUUUGAGUGUUAUAAUGCCUUUUGACGAGCUAUUACUUACAUGAUUUCUGAUGAAAAUGACUUGGCUUUGGGAAAUAAAACGGACCUUAAUGAGUUGGAAGUUUGUGAGACCAAUUUUGGCUUAAAUGUGGUAAAGAGGGCCUAUUUACUUUUCUUAUCGCACAUUUUAGCUUCUUACACUUUGACAAUGAGCUCGAUGUAUUAUUUUGGGCGGCCCAUUGGUUUAAGCUUAUCCUACAAUGUAUCAUUUAUAUUUACAUUGUUGAUAAGCGCAAAGUAACAUCCAGGCCGCCCAUUAAUACAUAUACUUACGUUAUUGGUAAGCUCGAUGUACCAUCCCGAUUGGCCCGUGCAUACCUCUAUCUGGGUUAUUAGAUUUCGAUUAAGCUUUUGGUAUCAUUAUAGGUGGAUUGAUGUUUCAUCUUGACAUAGGAGCUUUACACUGUAUCAUUGCAUGAAUUGGACUUUGAGUGUGUUGAUUAUUUGGGGUUUUGUGUGUAUCUUGCGUUUGAGUCUUGUUAUGAUAAAUUUUUCUCCAUCACUUGGUUAGUCUGUAUUAAUUUUCCCUUGUAUUGCUUGUAUUAUCGAGCCACUUUUAGAUAUUCGAUCUUUCUAUGUUGGACCGGCCUAUGAUGUCUAAUGAGUACCCCAUUUUUUGUCACGACCCAGGGGUACCCCUUAGAUGUAACAAGGCGUAUAGAACCUCGAAGGACUCCAUACACGCCACUUAGCAUAUCAUAACAUAAGAUGAUAGAAAAGUGCGAAAAUUUAAAACAUUUUUCCAAUACAAUCAAAGUUUCAUAAAAUGAAGUGGAAGUCUUACACUUGUCUCAAACCAUCUAAACCAUGAAUAUCUUUGGGACACAGCCCAUACAAUAGUUCUCAACAUGAAAUAAAGACAUAAAAUGAAAGGGUAAUCAAGUCCUCGAUGUUAUGAGGACUCACCAAAACUUCUCUUCUUGAUCUACUAUGAACCAAGACACGGGGAUGAAAGUCAAUAUUGCCGAACCCUACAUUUGAUAAGAAUCUAGGCAAGAGUAUGCGUUAGUACAAUAAUGUACUAAAUAUGAUGGAUAGCAUAAAUCAUCAACAUAAGCAUAAUGUAAGCAUUGGUCAACAUAUGACAUAUACCAUAAUCAUAAGAGACAUCAACACAAGGCAUAAGUUAUAGGCACAAUAGACAAUAACAUAAAUCAUAAGCAUAUUCAAUGCACCUAGAUCAACAUAGUAUAAGAGGAACACUUCAUAAGUAACCUCAAAGAAUGCUUGUGCAAUGCAUGGAUAAGACCCUAUAAAUCUCACCCAUGCUAAACAAACCAAAUUAGGCCCUCAUUCAUAUUCAUCAUCUUUUUGAUAUCAUCCUUAGCUUAUUUCUCAUAGACAAGGGAACAUUCACCUUUAGUCAAAUUUAUCCAGGAAAGAAACUAUAGCAACAAUCCAAGCUAAGCAUACAUCACACAACUAAACCUCAUAGCAAAACAUACUUAUAAUACUUCCUUGAAGUAACCUUAGUUCAUUAUUCAUGUUAAUGUUCUUGUUGUGGGAAUAAGACGUAACCGACAUGAGACUAUGUGAGCUAUAACAUGAUCACCCAGUGUUACCCACACCGAAAAAGGGUUGUCCUACAUGCCUAAGGUAGAACCAUGGUCUAUUAGUUUAGGUGGAUGCAUUAGCUAAAUAACCUAUGAGGCACGUAGUUUAUGGGAUACAAAGAUUUCUACUACAAACCCGGCCUCAACUGACGUGAGGGCUUCCAUCUCAAGAAAUUGCUUUCCAGAAACCUGGCCUCUAUUGAUGUGAGGGAUUCCAUCUCAUAUCAAUAUCCACUCGGUGCUAAGCAUUAAUCCCACAGAGUACGUAUUAAGUCUUGUCUUAAGUCAUAUUUCAUGGAAGUAUUUCCUUGACAAUCAGUCCUAUUUAGUUCAUGGGGAUAGCUCUUGGAUCAUGGGUGAGAAAACCUUUCACCGUUCAUGUCCACAUGUAAAUAUUUGAUUCAAUUAGGUGAGAAAGACUUUCAACCUAGAAUCUUCAUUAUGUGAGAAAACUUUUCACAUCAUUGUUAUUAUGAGUUCAUGAGAAUAACCUUUCAAUCAGCCCACAACAACAACAUAUUCAUUAACACUUCACUCUCAAAGUGUACUCAUAGCAUUUACAUAGAUUUCAUGAAAACAUGCACAACUCCAUCAACUUGCCCUUUCAAGGUUCAAGCCCUACUAUCAAUCAACACAUCUUGAAUUUAAGCAUUAGACAUGGAUUUCAUAAUAACAUGCAUAUCUUCAUAAUAUAGGUCAUGUGGGUAAAUCCUUCCAAUACAAUCCUAUCCACCAUUCAUCAAGCACAUAAGCUUCACUCUCAAAGUCUUAACAUUUAUAGUUCAUCAUAUUAUCUUUACUCCCAAAUCCUUAGCAAUUAACAUUCAUAAUUACAAGCCUUACUCUCAAAGCAUUACUUCUCACAAUCAUCGCACAUGCCUAGAUCUUAAGAAAUUCUAAUCACAUGCUUCAUUCUUAAGCAAUUUUUAAUCAUAUAUCAUCAUAUAGGUUAAAUCUCAAGCAUUAAUAAAUCAUAAUUUAUCAUGCACACUUGAUCUUUAAUCAAUUCAUGUCUAUGUGCUUUACUAUUAAGCAAUUCAAGUCCAUAUGCUUCCCUCCAAAGCAAAUCUAUAAUGCAAUUCAUCAAUCAUAGAAGAUUACAUCUAAACCCUCAACUUCCCCUGUUCAUGGCAUAAAACCCAACUAUGUCAAAUUCACCUUAGAAUCAUAGGUUAAGCAUGAAUACAUGAUAAUCAUACUAAGAACAUGUAAUUCCAUCAUAAACAAUCAUAAACAAUCAUAAUCCACUAUAUUGGAUCAUAACCCAGAACAUUAGAAGAAACCCUAGUUUGACUUAGGGAAUUUUUCUUCUAAAUUGGGGAAAACAUGGGGGCUUCAUGGAUGAAAGUACUCCAUGAAUGAAUAAGCCAUCAUACCAUGAUUACAAAGCCUACCAAGCUUGAAAAAAUGGAGACUUGACUUGACCUAGCUUGACCCACUUCUUCUUCUUCUUCACUUUCUAGAGAGAGAAUAUUUGAGAGAAUUAACUUUGGGGAAUUGAUUUGGGUUUUUGAAAAUAUGACUUAGUUUGGUGAGUUUUUACUUAAAAAUGACUUAUAUAGUGGUCCUAGACUUACCCAAAACGACUUUGAUUUAAUUGGACUAAAAUUGGAAAAGACUUAUUUAACCUUCAACUAUAGUGACCUGCCUUGCCUAGAGACCACAUGAGUCCCCAUGAGCCUUGGACCCGUUCAUGGACCAUGGGGCAGUGUCUAGGCAACCAUGCCUUAAGCCCCAAAAUCCUAAGGCUUCUUCACGAAGGGCUCCACGAGCUGUGGAUCUUACCACGAGCUGUGGUCCCUCUCGUGGGCCUUGAGGCAGUGGCAAAGCUACCCUCACUCAACUUUCAUGUAACAAGGCAUGACCAUGGCCACUCCGUGGAGCCAUCUAAGGCUUCACGAGUUGUGAAGUGGCUCGUGUGGAGAAGUCCAAUUUGGGGUAGCCUUAGAGGCGUAUUGACUCACCACCACGUGUGGCACCACUGGGCGUGGUGACCACCACGGGUCGUGAAGGCCCUCAUGGUCAUGGGCAGUGCCUUGGCCCUUGGCCUGUUACCUUUGCUCUUGCCUUCCUUCCUUGACUCUAACCUUCAUGUUUAGCUCUAGUUUAGCCUACAAAUUUCCGGGGGGUUACAAUUUCUCCCUCUUGGGAACAUUCGUCCUCGAAUGGCAUUCUAGGCAUCUCUUAAAGGAAACAACUCUUAACUAGCAGCCCAUCAUGCAUGCAACAUCAUAACAAUGCACAAAACGAUGGAAGAAACAUCACUCCAAACUAAACAUACUCAAUGCACCUCAAGGAAAGUAGGAACUAUUCCUAGCAACCAAUAUGCAUGAAGUCUCAAAUUUCUAAUCUUUUAAGGAGGAACUUCCUUCUCCAAGCUCAAGGCAUGCUCAACACUAUCUUAUGGAGGCUAUGUGCAAUUUACUAUCAAAAAGCAUAACUAAAGCAUGUCUAACAAUUCAUUUCAUGGAGCAUAUAGGCAACUCAUACUUAAUGCACAACAACACGAGGAACAAACAAUCAUAUAAUUCAUUUUCUUUCAAAACAUAAACUUUCAUGAACAUGCACCACAUAAGGAAAUCAUGGAAACAUCUAAAACACACAUGACUACACAUAAAGAACAAACCAUGAGGAACUCAUCAUCUCAAUGCUAAAUGAGGAAUACAAGGAAAAAGGAUGAGGAUAUCGGGACAUCUUAUUGGCCCUAGGCCUCCCAAGUAGCCUCCUCAACUAAAAACCCUCACUAAAAUAUCACUCAACAUUUUUAUGGAAGAAACUUCCUUGUUUCUUCUAUUUCUUAACUUGCCGGUCUAAGAUCUCAUAAGGGCUUUACAAAGCGGGGACUAAACUUUCCCAAACCCAAAUCAUGAACAUUAAGAACACUCAACGACCUUGCUAUCUAAGUACAUCAUCUCCCUCUUGGGAGUAAGCCUAUACGAACUUUGUAAGCACCAUUUCUUUCAACUCUAAGGUCAGAUCAAGUUAUCACAAAGUUUUCACGUCCAUCACACAAGAUGAUUCUAAACCAUGGUAAGUUGCACUACUACCCUUUUGAGGAGUCUACUCCUUCAACACCUCUAGCCAUUACUUAAACACCCUAUUCAUCAAACCUAUCAACAUAGCCCAAAACUCAUCAUGACUAAGUCAGGUUCUACCAUCAAAUAAACAUAAACAUAACCAUAAUGCAACCCAUUCAUACCAAAGACAACAUCAAAGUCGGACAUUGAAGUACCAGCUUCUCAAAUCGCAGCCACGUCUCGUAGAUUGGUUCACCCUCCAAGCAUUUGAAACCUUGGAUACUAUCUCUGAGCGUUAUCAUCUUUGAUGGGGGAAAGAAACUUACAUAGAACGCUGCUGUAAGUUCAUCCCAAUUAGUGAUGGAGUUCCUCGGUAAAUCAGCUAACCAUUCGGUAGCUUCACCCAUCAAAGAGAAUGGGAACAACUGAAGAUGAACUGAUUCUUGUGAUAUGUUUUUGAACGAGAAAGGACCACAUACGUCCACAAAGUUCCAAAUAUGCUCAUGGGGUCUUUAUGGGCCAGCCCUCUAUAUAGUUCUUUCAUUUGGAGGAGUUGUAGCAUUGUGCUAGUGACAUGGAAAACAACAUUCCCCUCAACAGAAGGUAGACGUAUUGCACCAACACCACCCAAUUGAAUUGGGUCAUUCACAUAAUUCAGAUUUCCAAUAUCUUCUUGGUGGCCAACUUGGCUGCCAUUACUCCCGUUCACACUCAUUUCUUGUUUUGUUCAAAACAAAUCAACACAAGCACAAAAUAGAGUAGUUGAUUCAGCUACAACACAAGAAUAUCACAAUUCAACUUCAAUAAUAAAAUUCUAAACACCGUUCCCCGGCAGUGGCACCAUUUUGAUUAACGCUCAGAUUACACCACUUCCAAUUCUAGGUGUAGAUGAUAGUUAUGUGGUAUAAAACCUAAUGAAGAGUUGGGAUCGAACCCACAGGGAGUGGUACAAUGUUCGAAUUCAAUUACGAAGUACAAAUGUGGUCUAAGCGGUUAUAGGAAUAGAAAUUAUUGAAAACAUACAAACAAGUCAAGGGGGUUGACAACGAAUGUCAGAUGGGAGGUUUGGAUUUGCAAUUAAUAGCUAAAACAAAUAGGAAAAUAGAGGAAACAACAAUAUUAAGAGGAAUUGUCGAGAUGUGAUCAAUUAUAGGCCAAUUUCGCUAUAUGUGUAAUUGAAAUUACUAAUGAAUUGCUAAAUCUCAAUGUGUAGGCUAGACUGCAAGUGCAACAAUUUUCUCUCGAACAACUAUAAUGAUUCAAGUGAGUUCUCUCAAACCUCAACAACAUUAUCAAUAUAAAUAGCCCCAAACCUUGAUACACCUACUUUCUCGAGCUAUAUAGGUAGAAUCAAGUUAAGAAUUCACUCUCUCGAGUUGAACCCAUAUCAAUCCAACAACUACAAUCAUUAAUCAAAGGCUUUGGUUCUAAAAACUUCUUUCUCAAGCAAGCCUAGAACUCUAAGCUAGAAUUCCAUUUGCAACUACGACUCAUCGAUUAAAACACAACUAAUGAUUAAACCCACUUCAAUUAAGCAUUUAAAUCAGUAAAUAACAAUACCCAUAAGCUAAUUCGACCAAUAAUCACAUGAUCACAACCAAGAAUUGGCAUUUUAGCUAAGCAUCAUAAAAAGAUAAAAACAAUUACCAACUAGAUUAGUCAUCAGCUGGGUAAAAUUCUCCAAGCCUUUUACAAUACUCUAAAUUGAUUAUGUUCGAAAACCCACUUGCAAAUCCCCAAAGUUAAGCUUAGAAAUCCUCAAAGUCUACAAUGGAAACUCAAAAACUAAGAGAAAACUCUAACUUUCAAACUUUGGGAUCAAAACUCCAGUCUCUGCAUUUAAAAUUUCAAUUUAUAGUUGUCCAAUUUUUGGCCUGAAUGGCCAUUGGGAAAAAUAAGUCGUGUCUCGCCGAACAGGUCAGCGAUCCGCCCUUUGCUCCCUUUCAUCACUAAUUUGCAUUAUCCAUCAGUCCUCCAGGUCCUUUAAGUUUGAGCGAUCAAGGUUGCCAUCGCGGAGUCAUUUGGCGAUUCAUCGACUGCCCAUUCCUGUCGCCAAGUUGGUUCUUCCGAGGGCUGGCACGUUGGAACUUUAGGCGAGCUAAAGAACCACUCGACAGUUUGUUGAGUAGUCUUGGCAAUCACCAAGAUUAAUUUUCUUCACUUCUCCAUCUUGUUAGUUCCUUUUUACCCACUAGUGUCCUUUUCUUUCUCCUUAGCCUUCAUACCUGCAAAUCAACACUUUAACAUCAUUUUAAAGCAUAAAAUAGGCAUUUGAGGACACUUAUACUAUCAAAACAAAGCCCUAAAUGAUUCAAUAUCUCAGACUCAUCUUUCUUACCCGAUGGUCUAUAGGAUAUGACUACUACAAGGGCUAAUGCUAGAAGGAAUGAGGAAGACAAUAUGAAUCAAGAAGUUCCUCCCCAAGCUCCUCCACAAGCGUCGAUUGACCCUUUGAAUGAGAAUGUAACAAAUGCGGAAUUUAGAUCGGCUUCCCAUGUAUUGGCUCAAGUCGUGACGGCACAAGCCAAUAUAGAUGUGGUAGUCCCCUUGAACCCAAAUGUGGGUAUGACAACGUCAAGAAUGGGAGACUUUACAAGGAUGAACCCUCUGGAAUUUUAUGGUUCAAAUCUUGAGGAAGAUCCUCAAAAGUUCAUGGAUGAGGUCCAUAAGGUGUUGGACAUUAUGGGAGUUACUCCCGUGGAGAAGGAGGAAUUGGCUGCUUACUAACUUAAAGGGGUUGCUCAUGUUUGGUUCAACCAAUGUAAAGAAGAAAGACCGGUAGGAAUGGGUCCCAUAGAGUGGGAAAGGUUCAAAACUGCUUUUCUUGAUAGGUUAUUUCCUUUUGAGAUGAGAGAGGCUUUGGUGCUUGAGUUUAUUAACCUUCGGCAAGGUAAUAUGAGUGUUAAGGACUAUUCUUUGAGGUUUACUCAAUUUUCACAAUAUGCUCCAUCUCUAGUGGCCGACUCUAGGUCGAGAAUGAGUAAGUUUGUGACGGGUGUGCCUGAUUUAGUGGUGAAAUAAUGUCAUACCGCCAUGCUCAUUGGUGACAUGGAUAUUGCUCGCCUUAUGGCUCCUGCUCAAAAGAUUGAAGAGGAGAAACUAAAAGGGAGAUCUAGGGAGAAAAAAAGGUCUAGAAAUGAUGAUGAUAAUUCCUUCCAUGCAAGGACCGAUAGACAUGGUCAUCCUAAGUAUCGACAAAGGUUUUUCGGGCAAGGUUCCUCUGAUUCUCCUAAGUAUAAUGAAGAUAGGGUGUCUAACCCUAAACCGCAAGGAAUGAGUAGUGAAUCCCUAUGUCCUACUUGUACUAGAUGUGGAAAGAGAAAUAAGGGUAGGUGUUUAGCCGGCAUAGAGGGUUGCUUUAGUUGUGGUGAAAGUUGCCACAAAGUGAGGGAUUGUCCAAUGGCAAAGGUUGAGAAAAGAGGUUAAGCAAUCUCCUCCUAGUGGUUCGGGUGCGAAUGCUCCAAGGAAAAAUAGGUUCUCUUCUCUCUAAGCUAGAGGUGAACAAGAGUGUCCCCCAAAUGUGACUACCAGUAUGUGUUUUAUGCUUUAUUAGAAUCUGGUACUGCUUUGUCUUUGGUGACUUGAUAGACUUAAUAUACUAGGUCUUGAUGUUAUCCUUGGUAGGAGUUUUUCGUACUCUUAAUUAUGUCUUGAUUGAUUGUAGAACCCGAUAUGGACAUUAUGAGUGUUGGGGAUGUCAUUGAUUUGGCCAAUGCUCCGAUGUCAUGUAUGGAUUGGAGGAAUAUGGUGUUUAGAUAAUUUCUUGAUGUUUUAUGUUAAUAGACUCCUCUAAAAGGUAGUAGUAUAGUUCACUAUGGCUUAGCAUCGUCUUGUAUGACGGGGGUGAAUGUUUAGUAAUGUUUUGAUCUAACCUUAGUUGAAUUGAAAUAAGCGGUGCUUAGAAAGCCCAUUUAGGUUGGCUCCCAAAGGGGAGAUGGUGUGCUUAGAUAGAAAGGUCAAUGUGUGUUCCUAAUGUUCAUGAUUUGGGUUUACUUGAAGUUCUCACCCAAGAAGAGUGUAAUGAGGUUUGGGAAGUACGAGAAGCUUAGUCACCAUUUUCUAGGCCCAUGUGAGAUCUUGAGACAUGUUGGUAAGGUUGCUUAAGAGCUAGAGUUGCCUAAUGAGUUAGCAUCAGUGUAUCUGGUUUUCCAUGUCUCUAUGUUAAUGAAGUGUGUUGGACAUCCAACAUUCAUAGAUCCCUUAGAAGGGUUGGGAGUUAAUGAGAAUCUCUCUUUUGAAGAAGUAGCGAUUGAGAUUUUAGACCGGCAAGUUAAGAAAUUAAGGAGUGAGGAAGUUGCUUCCGUGAAAGUGUUAGAAAGGGGUCAUUUAGUUGAGGGUGAUACUUGGGAGGCCGAGGCUGUUAUGAAGUCCCAUUAUCCUCAUCAUUUCAUUCGACUCCUCCUCUAGCUUGAGAUAAACAGUUCCUCAUGAUUUGCAUAUUUUAUGAAGUGUUGUGAAGUCAUAUCUGUUUUAGAUGUUCCCAUGAUUUCUUUAUGUUAUGCAUGUUCAUGAAAAAGCUUAAGUUUUAAAAGAAAAUGAGUUUAUGGGUUUGAUUUUCCUCAUGUUGUAGUGCAUUGAGCAUGAAUUGCCUAUAGACUUCAUGAGAUGAAUUGAUGAACAUGCCUUAGCUUGGAGUUGAGAGAUUCCUCCUUGGAUGUAUGCUAUGAGUAUAAAUUGCAUAAAGGCUCCAUGAGAUUGUGUUGAGCAUGUGUUUAGCUUGGAGAUGAUACUUCCUCCUUGAACAUGAGAGAGGUUCAAAUUUCAUGCAUUUUUGGUUGUUAGAUGUAGUUCCUUCCUUCAAUGUGAGGCAUUGAACAUGUUUAGCUUGGAGUCGAUGUUUCCUCCUUGAUUGUGUGCAUUUAGAUGAGUUGCAUGCAUGAUAGACUGCUAGUCUUGAGUCGUUUCCUUUAAGGGGUGCCUAGAAUACCAUUCGAGGACGAAUGUUCCCAAGGGGGAGAUAAUGUAACACCCCGAAUUCGAGAUAGAGGGCAUAACAUGUUAGAACUUUAAGGUGCCACCUCACAAAGACCAACCAUGGCUCGUGGGUGGAUCCACGUGUGGUAGAUGGCUCCGUGGAUGGGCACCAAGAGAACUCCCUAAGGCAGUAACCCCGCCAAGACCCACACUCAGUCGAUGGGUCUAUGACUCGUGGCUAGGGGAACCGUAGGUCGACCAAAAAGUCUCUGAAUCCACCUAUGCUUGACUACGACGAAUGAUAGGUCCAUCCAUGGUCUGUCAGCGGGGUCUCGCGGGCCAGGACUGUGCGGUUAUUUUAAGGACACAAUGGGACUUUCCGGUCUUAAUUAGAUUAAAGUGGUGUCGGUUUACCCAAGACUACACCACCUAUAUAAGUAUUUUAGACCCCUAAAUUCAUUCAUUCUAAGUGAUUAUUUCAAAACCCCAAAGAAAUCCCAAAAAUCCUCUCUCAAAUAUUCUCUCACUAGAAGGUGGAAGAAGAAGGAAGAUUUGAAGCUAGGGUCAAGUGAAGUCUUCAAUCUUCAAGAUUUUGUGGGAUUUUUAGUGAGUUAUGAUGACUUUUUAUCCAUGGAGCCCCCAUGAUUUCCCUAAUUUAGAAGAAGAAUUCCCCAAUUCUAGUUAGGGUUUCUUCUAAUAUUAUGGGUAUUGAUCUAAUUGAGUGGAUUAUGAUUGUUUAUUAUUGAAUUAAUAGAAUUACAUGUUUAUAGGAUGAAUUUACAUGUACCCAUGCCUAACCCAUGUUUCUAACCUAUAAUUGAUGUAAAUGGGUUAUAUGCCAUGAAAGGAGAAAUUGAGGAUUUAGAUGUAAUCUUCUAGGAUUGAUGAUAUACAUUAUAGAUUUCUUGAGAUUGAAGCAUAUAGAUAUGAAUUGCUUAAGGGUAAAGCAUGUAGACAUGAAUUGAUUGAGAUCAAGUAUAUAUGAUGAACUAUGACUUGUAGGCUUUGAGAUUAGAAUUGUCUUGAGACUAAGGCAUGUAUGAUGAAUGAUGAUUAGUAGAACUUUUAGAGUGAAGCUUAUAUAUUGAAUUAUAAUUAGUGGGGCUUUGAGAAUAAAGCUAUAUGAUGAUUGUUGAUUUGUCGAUAGAAUUGUUGUUGAAGGAUUUACCCACGUGAUCUACUCUAUGUAUGCAUGAAUGAAUAAUGUGAAAGGUUUUCUUACAUAGAAUGAUUCUAGGUUGAAAUGCUUGCUCACCUAAAAUGAAUCAAAGCAUGUAUGAAUUAUGAUAGCUUGAAGUAGUGAUAUGAUAUCCCAUCAUGAAUAGCUUGACUUGGUGAGACAAGACCAUGCAUAGUAGCUUGAGUUAGUUGAUCUCGUGGAUAGCCUUGGAUUGAGCAAUAGUACCCUUCCAAUGGUUAGCUUGAAUUAGAAUGAGAGGAUGCUUGCAUGAUAGCAUGACUUGGUAAGGCCAAACCAUUUCAUUGGUAGCUUGGAUUGAGAAACAGUACCCUUCCUUGAGUAGCUUGGACUUGCAUAGAAAGGUGCUUUCCAUGAUAGCUUGGUCUAGCAUAAUGAGGUGUUUUUCCUUGGUAGCCUUGAAUUGGUAAAUUGUAACCAUUCAUGAGUAAUAAAUUAUUUUUUAUUGGUAAGAUGAUAUGCCUUCCAUGAAUAGUAGAAGUAUCUAAAGACGGACUAGUCUCUAAUCAAAGUAGCAUAGUUAUGAUGAAACAAGAUUACUUCAAGGGAGUAUUGUAAGCAUGUUUUAAUAUGAGAUUUACUUGUUGUAAAGAUAGAUUAGCUUGGAUUGUUGCUUGAGUUGCCUUCCUUGAUAUGUAUGACCCGAGGUGGAUGACCCAAGUCUUGACUAAGGAUAAGUUGAGGUCACUUGAGAAGUAUUCCUCUUACAUUAUGAUGAUUUAUGUGCAUUAAUUAUGCUUAUGACUUAUGUUGUUAUCUCUUAUGCUUAUGGAUAUUGUCUUAUGUUGACUAAUGCUUAUAUUAUGACUACAUUGAUGUUUAUUAUUGCCAUCAUAUUUAGUACAUUUGUACUAGCACAUACUCUUGCCUACAUUUCUUAUCAAAAUGUAGGGUCCAAUGAUAUUGAUUCUCACACACUACAUAAAAAAUGAUCAUUAGCGGUAAUUAAUUAACGACAAUAACUUAAUUGCUGUUAAAUAUGUAUUUUUAGCAGCAAUUAACACUCAUUGUAUAUGUCCCUAAAGUCUUUAGCAACAUUGGUUCUAAUGACACUUAACUAAUGCCAGUAAAGACUUUAGCACUUUUUAUUAAUGUCUAUAUUUAUUACCGCUAUAAGUUGUUUUUGUUGUAGUGACACUCGUGGCUAGGAUCAUAGUAGAGCAAGGAUUGAAGAUUUGGUGAGUCCUCAUUGCAUUCGAGGAUUUGACCACCAUUUUCCCUUUAUGUCUUUCAUUUCAUUUUAGAACUAUUGUAUCGGCUGUGUCCCAAGAUUUAUUCUUAUGUUGGAUGGUUUGAGACAAUGAUGUUAGACUUCCACUCAUUUUAUAAAGACUUCGAUAUUGUUGAAAAUGUUUUAAAUUCCCGCUCAUUUCUAUUAUCUUAUGUUAUGAUAUGCUAAGUGGCUUGUAUGAGGCCUCUUGGGGUCUUGUACGCCAUGUUACAUCUAGGGUGUACCCUUGGGUCGUGACAAAAAUGGUCUAACUUCUUUGCAAAAUUAUUCUUUCUCAAACCAACAAACGAGUUAAGCAACAAUAUGAACUUAAUUUAAAGGGCAUUAUUCUAAGCCAAAUUAAUAUACCAAACCCAAUAUCUAAAUGAGGGGAAGGUGAGUGACUAUGUCUUGCUAACAUUCUUAGUUCGUUAGUUUGCAUAAAUUCAAAUAUAAAUUGAAACAAACACAAAUAUAAGUGCAAAAAAAUGUACAAAUCGUUAGUCAACGAUAACAACAUAUAUGUAUGCAUAAAAAUGUAAAGUUUUGAGAUAAGGAGGAAGUGCGAGAUUUUCUUUUGGGAGGAGAAAGUCAUUCUAGACGAGCUAAAAUGCAUAUAUUGGUCGCUUCUCUAAUUUGGAUAGAGAUGGAGUCAUAUCGCAACUCCAAACGCGCUCCCCUCCCCAGUGUACAUGUAUAACAGAGAAAGGAAAAAGAGAUUAGUAAGACGAUUUAACUUUAGAUGAUAUUUAAUAUAUAAAUAAACCAAGCAAAAUCAUACAAUAAAUAUACCACUCUGGAACAAGAAGAUGGAAACGUCGGACAAGACACAUUUUUUGCAGCAGGCGACCAACUAAAUAUAACCAAAUCACAUAUAUUUUGAGCACAUGCCAACAUGAAUAACCAAGUCACAGUACUUCAAAUUUACACAUGCCACACACACGCACGCGCGCGCACAUAUAUAUAUAUAUAUACUAAUAGAAUUAAUAAAGAAAUUUUAAAACUCAUAUUUUUAUGGGUAUAGGAAAGAAGAGGCAAGCUGCAUUUGAGACAUUUGCACAAUCAAAAAUUACAUUCUUCACAAAACAACAUAUGCGCGCGCGCACAUAUAUAUAUAUAUACUAAUAGAAUUAAUAAAGAAAUUUUAAAACUCAUAUUUUUAUGGGUAUAGGAAAGAAGAGGCAAGCUGCAUUUGAGACAUUUGCACAAUCAAAAAUUACAUUCUUCACAAAACAACAUAUGCGCGCGCGCACAUAUAUAUAUAUAUACUAAUAGAAUUAAUAAAGAAUUUUUAAAACUCAUAUUUUUUAUGGGGUAUAGGAAAGAAGAGGCAAGCUGCAUUUGAGACAUUUGCACAAUCAAAAAUUACAUUCUUCACAAAACAACAUGAUCUGCUCAUCAUUUAAAAAAAAAAAACUAAAACACAACAAAACUAUAUCUUUUAAAACAAGUUUUCUGUAUUGAAAAACAUGAACUGAAAACUCUUAUCACAUGAUCAUCUAUCUGGAGUAAAAGAAACAAAACUAAUUCAUGUAAUCAUGAAAAGAAAACAGUUUUGAAGCUCAACGUCUAAAACACGAAAAUUAAAAUAAAUUCAAUCUUUGUACAGAUCUCAAAACAGGGUUCAAAUACAUUCUUUAACCUUGGUUUUUACCUUGGCUAUAGAUAUAAGGUCUAUUGAAUAUAUAUCUAAGAGGGAGGGAUUAACUUCCAUAAUCAUAGCUUAAUACAAAACAGAACAAUGAUCAUGGAUCAUAGACUAUAUACUGUCCAAAAUUCACAACAUAAAAGAAAGCUAACAACAUGAACAAACAUCCCGUAAAACGAAGAUCCUAAAAAAUGUGAUUUCUAAUGAUAAAAUAAAGAGAUUCGAGUCAGAUUUUCACCUGUUUCGGGGCAAUGAACUGAAGCUCUUUUGACCUCGGAUAUACCCCUAAAGUUGGACUAAUUCGGACUCGACCACGCACAAGAAUCCAAGGACAAUGAAAAAUAAUAAAAAGUUGGAUAUUUCCAAGAGUAAAAGAGAUGUUUUAGGCAGUUUUUGGUUGUGUGUUUUGUGAUUGACAGGAAACAUGUCUUAAAACGAAUGCCUAAGCUUGAUAUUUAUAGAGACCAAUUAAGGGUUCAAGGAGAAUCCUUUAGGCGGGAUUUUGAUUUUUAAAUUGAGUGACAAGACUCCUUGAACUUCGGACAAUACACCAUGGCAGAAAACUUUGCAGAAGCAAUUGAUUUUUAUGACCAAAAUAGUGAGUCUCUACUGAAGCGUAAGGAUUUGAUACAUUUUUUAACAUAGAAGUAGACGAUCUUCUGCAACACGCUAUGGGGAGAAGGAACUUGCUCGAAAAUGGCCGAGCCAAAUAUGGAUUUUGAGGGGCAAAGGCCAAAACUUUGUCAAAAAUUCAGGUUUUUUCGGCUAAAGAGAUAGAUAGAUAGAUAGAGAGAGAGAGAGGCGUCUGAUGACACCAAAUGAAAAAAAAUAAAUUAUUUUAUGAAAUCCAAGGGUAUUUAGGAUAAAAUAGGUAGAUUAAAUGAGGUAUUCAAUGUAUUUG
rnacentral:lncRNA from 1 species